rnacentral:lncRNA from 1 species
UUGUAAUUUCAUCUUGUACUUUCAUAUGUCUUGAAUUUAAGAUUAAAAAAAAACUCUAAUAGCGAACCAAACACCUCCACAACUUCUUAUUAUUUGUGGUGAGGUUUGAAACAUUCAACUCAAUUUGUACUUAUUACAGAAUUUGAUUCUUUGAGAGAUUUAGAGGAGCUAGACAUUGGCGGGAACAAGAUUGACAAAUUUGUGGUCUCAAAAGGUACUACAAAUACCAUAAAAAAAAUAUGCUAACUUUUACAAAUUAGUUAGAUUCUUUGCCAUUUGGUUUAUUAUUUUACAGGUUUGAGUAAGUUGAAGUCUCUCGGUUUAAGUGGUAUCAAACUCAAUCGUAGCAUCUUAUCUUCUCUUUCUUCGUUAAGAGAAUUAGAUAUAAGUCGUACGGGAUUCAAAGGAACAUUUGAUGUUCGAGGUAAGCCUAAACCUUGCUUUCUCAUUUUAUAUAUGCCAACUAGAUUUGUGUAUCAUCGACAUAAUUUAAUAUUUAAUUUGAUAAGUCUGAAUGAAUUACAUGCUAAUUUAAACAUACUUUUAUUUACUCUAUCAAUCAAUUAAUUAAUUAAUUACUAUUUGGCUUGGUUUGGACGAAAUUCUCAUGAUGUUUUAAUUUCUUUAAAUUAAUUAAUUAAUUAACUCUGUUUUUAAGUCUUAAGUCUGGGCGUGUUUGCAGAAUUUGAUUCAUUCAACGACUUAGAAGUGUUGGACAUGAGCUACAAUGAAAUCGACAAUCUUGUGGUUCCUCAAGGUAAACAAUUAAAAUGUUAUUCAAUUACAUUAUUUUAAUUCAUUUGAUUAGGGAAGGCCAAAAAGGUCCAAAAAAAUAAUAAUAAUAAAGAAACAUAUAAUUUGUAUUAUUUAAAAAACAGAAUGUAAUAAAGAUUUGAUUCCAGUUCUUCAAUCUUUAAAGCGAUUGAAAAACAAUGUUGCUCUUUUCCCAAAGCAUAAAAUACGAAUUGAAUGCCAAUUAACUUAAUCAUUCAUUUCGUUUAGCUCUAAAUUUAGACAAUGAAUUUUUAUAUUAUUUCAAAAACAGGACGUAAUAGAAUUUAAAAAAAAAACAGAUUGUAAUGAAGAUUUGAUUCCAAUUUUUUAAUCUUUGCAGCGAUUGAAAAACCAUACCGCUCUUUUCCCAAAGCAUAAAAUACGAAUUGACUCCCAAUUAAAUUAAUCAUUUAUUUUGUUCAUCUCUGAAUUUAAAUAAUGAAUUUUGAUCUUCAAUCAUAUUCUAACUACUAUUAAAAAAAUAGGUUACAAAGGUUUGAGGAGGCUGAAAAGUCUUGAUCUAUCGGAAUUUGAAAUUAGAGAUGGAAGCAAGUUGUUACAGUCAAUGGGAUCAUUCCCAUCCCUCAACACACUUGUCCUGACGGAUAAUAAUUUUACCGAUAUAGCGACCGCUACUCAAGGUAAGUAAAAGGUACAGAUGUGGCCAAAUUUAUAAAUAAAUUGUUAAUUAAUUAAUUUUUCCGUAUUAUUAAUUAAGCUAAAUUUGUUGCUCCUUCCUUCUAAUUCUAAACAGAGUUGCACAAUUUCACCAACUUGGAAUAUUUGACAUUGGACGAAUCCUCUCUCCAUAUAAGCCUUCUGCAAAGCAUUGCAUCAUUAUUCCCUUCGUUAAAAACUCUGUCGAUGUUUGGUUGUGAAGUCAACGGUCUCGUACGCGGUCAAGGUAAAAGAAAAGCGUUGAUUGUGAACUCACUCAAUGGUGUCCUACGUGUUCAACAUUUUUGUUUAUUUAUUUAUUGUUUAAUGUUUCUGCUAGGUUUUCCCCAUUUCAAGAGUUUGGAACAUUUGGAUAUGGAUUACACGCGCAUUGCACUCAACACCAGCUUUCUUCAAAUCAUCGGUGAAUCGAUGCCUUCUCUUAAGUACUUAUCACUGUCAUAUUCUAAUCUUAGCACUAACAGCAGCAGGAUUCUUGAUCAAGGUUAAUGAGAUGCUGCCACCCUCCCCUCUUAAUCUGUAAUAUUAAUUUUCAAUUCAAUAUUUAAUUACACAAACCAAUCACUUCUAUAUAAAAGAAUACUAUGCUUUUGUUAAAUUUUUUUAUUGUACUGAUGGAUAAAUUAAUAAAUUUUCAGGCCUCUGUUCGUUGGUGCAUCUGCAAGUGUUGUACAUUUAUAAUAAUGAUCUGAGAGGCAGCUUGCCUUGGUGCUUGGCAAAUAUGACAUCCCUCCGAUUAUUAGAUGUUUCUUCCAAUCAACUUACUGGAAGCAUCUCCUCAUCUCCCCUCAUUCAUUUGACAUCCAUUGAAGAGCUGAUGCUUUCAAACAAUCACUUCCAGAUCCCAAUUUCACUUGAACCACUUUUCAAUCACUCAAGACUCAAGAUUUUCAAUGCUUAUAACAAUGAAAUAAAAGCUAAAAUAACUGAGUCACAUUCUUUGACCGCCCCAAACUUCCAAUUAUCACGUCUCUCAUUGUCUUCCAGUUACGGAGACGGUUUCAUAUUCCCCAAAUUCCUUUACCAUCAACAUGACCUGGAGUAUGUUGAUCUCUCACACAUAAAGAUGAAUGGAGAAUUUCCAACUUGGUUGUUGGAAAACAACACAAAAUUAGAAACUCUUUCUCUCGUCAAUGAUUCUCUUGGAGGACCUUUUCGGUUGCCAAUUCAUUCACACAAGCGGUUAGGAAUGUUGGAUAUAUCCAACAACAACUUCCGAGGCCACAUUCCAGUAGAAAUUGCAGAUGUUUUACCAAGUUUAUACGCUUUCAACAAUUCCAUGAAUGCUUUAGACGGUAGCAUUCCCUCUUCAUUUGGUAAUAUGAAAUUCCUCCAAUUUCUGGACUUAUCCAACAAUCACUUGACUGGUGAAAUUCCCGAGCACUUGGCCGUGGGUUGCGUCAACUUGAGGUUUCUUGCGUUAUCAAAUAACAACCUACAAGGUCACAUGUUCUCUAGAAAUUUUAACUUGACAAACUUGAAAUGGUUACAAUUGGAGGGCAAUCGCUUCGUAGGUGAGAUCCCACAAAGUUUGUCUAAAUGCUCCUCACUAGAAGGAUUGUAUCUUAACAAUAAUAGUCUUUCGGGUAAGAUUCCACGAUGGUUGGGUAAUCUCACAAGGUUACAAUGUAUUAUAAUGCCCAAUAAUCAUCUUGAAGGCCCUAUUCCAGUGGAGUUUUGUCAGCUUGAUUUGCUUCAGAUUUUGGACAUUUCAGACAACAACAUAUCUGGAAGUUUACCAUCUUGUUUCCAUCCUCUCUCUAUCAAACAAGUUCAUCUUUCAAAAAAUACGUUACAUGGACAACUAAAAAGAGGUACAUUCUUUAAUUGCUCUUCCCUUGUGACAUUAGAUCUUAGCUAUAACCGCUUGAAUGGCAGCAUUCCGGAUUAGGUUGAUGGGCUUUCUCAGUUAAGCCACCUUAUCUUAGGUCACAAUAAUCUUGAAGGUGAAGUGCCAAUUCAAUUGUGCGAAUUGAACCAACUACAAUUGUUAGAUCUUUCUAAUAAUAAUCUUCACGGUCCUAUUCCUUCUUGCUUUGAUAACACCACACUUCAUGAAAGUUACAGCAAUAGUUCUAGUCCUGAUGAGCAAUUUUAAAUAUCUUUUUUCAUCCAAGAAACUCAAGGAUAUGUAGAAAAGCAAAUCCAUGAAAUUUUUGAGUUCAUAUAUGUAGAAAAGCAAAUCCGUGAAAAAUUUGAGUUCACAACAAAGAACAUUGCGUACAUUUACCAAGGAAAAGUGCUUAGCCUCCUAUCAGGACUUGAUCUUUCUUGCAACAAGCUAAUCGGUCCUAUUCCUCUUCAAAUUGGAAAUUUGACAAGGAUUCAAACAUUGAAUCUAUCACACAACAACUUGACAGGAUCGAUCCCAUCAACAUUUUCAAACUUGAAGUAUGUCGAAAGUUUGGAUCUUUCCAACAACAAAUUGAAUGGGAAAAUCCCUCAUCAACUAGUGGAGUUAAAGACAUUGGAGGUUUUCAGUGUGGCAUACAAUAACUUAUCAGGCGAAAUUCCAGAAUGGACUGCACAAUUUGCAACCUUCAAUGAGAGUAGCUAUGAGGGAAAUACUUUUCUUUGUGGAUUGCCAUUGCCCAUUUGCAGAUCACCAGCAACUAUGUCGGAGGCUUCAAUUGGCAAUGAACGAGAUGAUAAUUUAAUUGACAUGAACAGUUUCUUUAUCACAUUUACAACAUCGUACGUAAUUGUGAUAUUCGCAACUGUUAUUAUUUUAUAUGUAAAUUCUUAUUGGCGACGUAGAUGGUUUUACUUUGUUGAAAUGUGGAUAACUUCAUCUUACUAUUUUGUUGUAGACAAUCUUAUUCCAACAAGAUUUUGUCAUUGAAAUUAAUUAGUAGCUUAAUUACGAUUCUUUAAGUACUAAUCAAGUUUGCUUAGGAAAUAUUUUUUUAUUAAAAUUGUAGUAGUAUUUAGCAUUAUAUAGCUUCCAACUUCCAAGCACUUCACAUUUGUCUCUACACUUAAAAAACUGAGUAAUCAUGUUUUGCAGAUCUGUCCACCAUAACUUAUAGCUUCCCUAUACUGUGCAGCAUACUUAAAUAAGAGAACCAUCUCCAAUGUUAAAAGCAUUCACUCUAUAACAUUCAUUUAGAAACUAUAUUCAGAAUAAUUUUAUAAUUAAACACGAGAAAUGAAACACAUAGAUACACUUGAUCGCCUAUUUUACUCUAAAAAAGAACGAUUAUUGUGCUAUCAUCAUCUUCUUCACUAGCAACAUUAACACCAAAUCGAUGGACCCAUACAUUUCAUCAAGAAAGGUAUAUAUCCAAUAAAGUUGAAGCCUAACAAAAAAUUCAAGAAGAUUAAUGCCUCGCCACAACAAGGGGCACAACAACAUCAAAGUAGAGAUUAAGCAGUAUUCUCAAAGCUAAAACUCUCAAAUCCACCCACCAGAAUUUCAUAUCUCCUCAACAAUUUUAAGAACUAAAGAUAAUUAGGAUUUAACAUUAGUUUUUUAUAUAUUAGUUUCAUAAUUUACAAAUCAAUGAAGAUGAAGAUUAUGCUAAUAAAUUCAAAUUAUACCAUACAUUCUCUAGAUGUUACCAAAAAUUUCUAAGUCAAUCCCACAUAUUUCAUAAUUUUAAGACUAGAAAAUUUCACUAGUUAGAAGUUUCAUUACCUUCAAGUGGAAGAUAAAGAACAUUAUACAAGUGAUUCAGAUUAUAUCAUACAUACUCCAAAUGCAACUAGAAAUUAACAAGUUCAUGCGCACAUAUUUCAUAACAUUAUGAUUGAAAAGUUUCACAAAGAGAAAUUCUAAAUUCAAUCUCUUGCAUGAAGGCAGUUUGAUUGAUUUGAGUUACUUUCUUAUCAAGCUACUAAUAUAACAUUCAAGUCAGGGAGAAAAUAAAUUAAAACUGGGAAGAAAUAAUAGUAAAAAUUUGUUGCUCAACAUGAUGUGUAUUUUUUUUCAAGGCAAUUUGGAAACACAAUUGUUACUACAGAUAUUCUUCUCAACUUGGAGAUAAAUACAAAUAUUAAAAUGCAUAUGAUCGCACAUAUUACUUCGAGUUUAGUAAGAUUUCAUUAAAAGAAGCAAUCAAACCACUUAUCAAUUGUCGCAGUCGUUCUAUAAACUAAAAUAGCAAUAUAAUACAAGAAAAAGAACAUAUAGAUACUUGGCAAGAGUUCAUUAAGAAGUCGCAUCACAUUCGGGUGAGGAGUUUGCUUCUGAUAUCUUGCUAGCUGGGGCUUUUUCUUGUCUUUCUACGUAUGCCGAGGGAAACCAACCAGCUUGGCCCUUGCAUUCACCUUCCGACCAUCCAAUAGGAGCCACCUUGAGAAGUUAUAACUAAAACGGUGAAUUAAACAAAAGUUGACCGUUCAAAGACCUAAGGGGAAAACUAAUUCUUUUACGUAGGAGGAGUGAAUUAGUUGUGAUCACUGAAAUAACAGCAUAACUAUGGAAGCAUAACAAGAUAUAAAUUCACACGUCUAUAAGGAUAAACUGGGUGGUUCAGAACUGAGCUAGCAACCCUACUAUAUUCUGAUUUGCACUUCAAUGUAAAAGGGAAUAUAUGGUAGGAAGAAAGAAAACCAACCAUCAUUUGUUAACUCAUUGCUUUUCAAUCAAAAUUUUAAGAACAAAAUGCCAUGUGCUUUGAACAUCAAAUAAGUAUAAGCAUUAGUUCUAAAUUCCACAUAUCAUAAGUUGUUAGAAGGAUAAGUUAAUAGCAGAGUAGAAAAAUCUAUGUGUUGGUAUUUAGAGGGGAAAGUACCUGGCGAAUCACAACAUAAUCAUCAAUUGAAAGACUUAGCUCUCCAUUUGCUUGAGCAUCAAAUGGAUGUAUAACCUGCAAGAUAAUGGGAUAAAUAGAACUUAAAAAAAGCAUAACAAAAGCAGCAACAGUAGCAGCAACGUUCAUUGUAACCACUAUGAUCAUGGCCAACAAAGAUAUAUUAGAAACAAAAUUCCAUUUUUACUACGACAUUAAUAUGUACUAUACAAAUUCUAAUAAGUUCUGUAUAACUUUAUGUAGUUAUUUAAAUUAUGGAUCAGAUUUUAAAUUUGAAAUUUUGACUGCUCUCCACAAAACAUGGCCUAUGCACAAGAAAGUCAUAGAUAAUGAGGAUUACAAGUGUCCGGCAUCUUUUGAGUGAUGGAUUUAACAUGAGAGCUUAUGGUCAGUCAAUUUCCUCUGCCUAGCAAUAUAAGCUUUCUCGGCCAGAUUUAUCAUCAAAUACAUAGAUUGCCCCCAAGUCACAUCCAUAUAAACAUAGUUUUUCUAGGUAAACCAAGUAAGGAGUAUCAUAAUUCAGACAUAAUCAUAAAAAGGCCCAUCUAAAUUAAGAGAAAAUCUCAAAAAGAGGGAUGCUGAGCUAUCAGUCUUGUAUCUAUAAGCAAUAUCAAGACUUUACAUCACCUGCUACAUCGUGAGUGGCUACACAACUUUCAGUGGUUUGUCUUUCUUUGGCACGCCUAACUCAGCUUUGAUGUUAGUGAGAUAUUGAUAGUAGAGACACAUGAUACUUCUAGCUCAUGCAUUCUAUCUAACCCAUCCAACAACUAUCUCUUUUUUAAUUCAUUAGUGUUUGCUAAACCUCAUGCUUAAAAGUCCUAUUCUCCUUAGCACCACAGUUGGACACUUGUAGAGCAAUUUUAUUUGGGGGAAAAGAAUUUUCAAGGUGUUAACUAAUAAAUUUUAAAAAAUAAUUACAAUUUGUCCUACGAUCAUAUGACAAUUUAUCUGGGAUGAAAGGAUACAGAUAGACAUCUUCCACUUUCAAGACUAAUCACUACUUCCAUAGAUGUUGUGCAAUAAUACAAAUACUUGACCAGAUGGUAGUGAUGGUAGAAAAAAAUUUUAUUGCUCCAAAAUUAAAAUAAGAAUGCAAUAUGUUAAGCAAAAGGCUGUGCAACAUCAAAUUAAUUGAUAAGUUUGUAAUUCAGUAAAUUAACAACUUUCGUGGUAAAAUACAACAAAUUUCUUUUGAAAAAAAUAAAAAAAAUAAAUCUUAAAAGACAGCAUUCAAUUUUGUGCGCAUCUUAUUUCUUAAGAUUUUUCAGGAGGAGGGCAAUAGAGGGACUUUCACCUAUGCAAGAGAGCAGAAGCCUUACUUUCCCUAUAAAGUAGACGUCAUUCUGAUUAAUAUGCGUUUGCAAAUCAGCUCCGUUUGAAUCAGUAUUCUGAUAGACACACGAGCCAUUUACAUCCAUUUCCAAAGUCACAUGUUGCGAGGAGGACUCAUUUGAUUGCUCCUAUACGAUCAUCUAAUUCAAGUAGCAAGGGUUGGAAGAGAAUAAAAAGUCACAAUUAUUCUUUUGCAUAAGUGAGACGAAAAUGAUAAAUGCAAUAUUAUCAGCAGUAAACAAGAAGAGAACGCUCCAAGAAAUAGAUAGAUGCAGACAAGCAAGUUAAAAUGCAUAGUCCCAAACCUCCGCAUACAACUUCUCUAAAAUAGCAAUAACGUGUUGAUGCUAUGUUUUCUCAGCAUCUACCUGCAAAGGCCCGAGACCAGGAAAACAACAAUAAAACCACUAGCUGAAGGAGAAAGCAAAGAAAGAAAUACACUUGACAUAAAUCUUGACAAGAAGCACAAUUUAAGACAUAACAAACCCCAAUCAUAUUGUUUAGAACUACCAUUCGUUAUUUCGUUAUUGUAACAUUUCGAACAAGUGUUGACUUAAUUCAACAUUGUUGGAAAGAUGGGCUUUUAGAAGCAGAAGAAAGCCUCUCAAACCAAAGUGCUUGUCCUUGUAUUGAUCAAGGGAUGUAAACAUAUUACAUUUGCAGGAUGAGAUUUAAUCACUCCCCUGAUUUAUUUGGGUUGCAGUAAAACUAAGCGAGCAACUGUUUGACUUCCAAGCAACAGCUAAAUCAGCUAUUAAAAUUCAAAUAAAAUCAUAAUAGAAUAAUAACAGGCCAUCUUGCAUCAAAAAUUAAGUUUAAUUUGUGAAUUGUUUUCUAUAGACAUGUCAGUUUCUGCUAUUGAAAUGUUAAAAGCAUUGAAAAAUUAUUCAAUAAAUUAUGCAAGCAUUAAAAUAGAGGACAUAUUAAAAAGUUUCUAAUUACAAUGUUAAUAUUUCCUAUAUUCUAGCAUUUGCAUAUUUUAAUUUAUUUAAAAGCUACGUCGAUCAACUUUGGGCAUGAAGAUUUUAGCUUCUACGAGACUUGCUUGGAAUAUGCACAAGAGUGUUAAAAUAUGAUGCAUCCAACGAAAGACAAACCACGUGUAGUCUUUUAAUUAAGCCAAAGUAGCAGCUCAAACAAAUGACACUUGGACCAACAUGCAAUCAUGAAGUGGCCGGAAAAAGGACAAAUGCUACUUUGGCUUAAAUAAAAAAUAACAUGUGACUUGACUUUUGCUGGACAUGCAUCAUGUUAUUACAAGACAACAGAAAUCAGUAUGAUAGUACUAAAAGUUGACAAUAACAUGAAGAUAAGAGGCAGACUGUCAACACAUGCAUAGGCACACACAAGAAAGUAUUAACUUCUAUACCAUAGCAAAAAGUCUUUGAUAUGUCAUCUGUUGCUGCUGUGAUUCAACUGACAGCAUGGCAGCUGUUGCUUCUCUACCAAGAGCCAUUAUUGUAGAUUUAAGCUCCGUCUAUCUUGCUUCUGCAUUUCGAAGCUUCACAGCACUCUCUGCUGAUAUAUCAGAUUCCCUAAUCUUUGAUCGGCGCCUAAAUACUUCAGCUGCCUGGUGAAAAUAUUCAAUAUAAAUCUAACAUAAUUCUAAUCUUGCCUUAUACAUGCAUAUGUUACCUCAAAGCUUACCUGGGCUUCAACUUCAUGUCGAAGUUUGUCAUAACGAUGAGUCAGGUGUCGAGCAUCUUCCAAAGGUGUUCCGUUGAUUAACGCCCGUAGUGGCUCAGGUACCUACAUGUCCAAAAACCUGUAACAUAGUUAGAAAAAUGAAAAGAAAGAGCGAAACCUCAAUUAAAAAGUUCCUCCAACAUAAUCAUGGAAUUUGGGCCUACUUCAAGGAUAUAUAUAAGGAUAAUUUAUGCAAUUUUGGGUCUGAGGAUGAUUCAUAUUAGGUUAGUGUUCUUCUCUUCUGUAUUUAAGGUUAAAAUAGAAAUAAACCUAUGAAAAUAUCUAAAUUAGGGCUGUAAGACUUCCACAUGCAUCCUUCAGUCUCAUGGAUUUGAUUUUACUAUAGAUGCAAGUGUCUUUAAAGAAAAUGCUUGGAGUCAAUUGAGAGAACUCACGGCCAAAAACUUGUCACACGCUAGUCUUUGCUAGUGAUGUAAGAAGUCACAGGGUCUCUUCAACAUUUGAACCAAUAAAAUUAUUAAGUCAUGGAUGUCACUAGCAAUGAUUUUAAUAUAAAACAUUAAAUAUUUCAGAGUUGUAACUUUAAAAUGGAUUCUUUUAUUCAAUAUCAUAGAACUAAGUUUCCUUAUGAGAAGAUAAUAGUUUCGAUAAUAAUUUUACAUAUAAUUUUCUAUAUUUGAAUUAUUUUCUAGUUAGGGAUGAACUAACCUGAUCACGAAGAAUCCCGAGCAAAGUUUCCCUCUCAUUUUCCAUCAAAUCAUGUGAAGUGCCAAAUUGAAGAGCAGCUCUUGCAACGCAAGAAUUGUCACUUUGAUUCUCUGCUCCAUACUUGCAACAAUCUUCAGCCAACUUUCUCGCUACAAUAUUUGAAUACAAAAAUAUUGUACACAAGAACUAUAAAAAACUAAUGAAAAAUGCCAAGAUGGAGCAGAUGCUUCAAUACUGCCCGUACAAACCAUAAAAAACUAAUGAAAAAUAAAUAAAAUCAAGAAAUUUUACUAAUUAAAAGUCUAAAUAUAAUUUUGAAAAAAGAAAAGAAACGGACUUGCUGCUGCUUGGCGACUUGUUCUCGGAGCUUGAUUGCUUGUUUCUUGAUAGCUUCCAUACUGUUUCUUUCAAAAAGCGACGACGGCUCAGCUCAUGGAAGUGGAAAAAAAAAGUGUGAUCGAGAAAAAUGAAAAGGCGUGAAUAAUUUUUGACAAAAAGCGAAAAUCAAGGAAAGCCGGCUCUUUCCAGAAAAUAAAAAAAGAAAAAAGAAAAUCAUAAGUUUGAAAGGAGAAGAUGAUAGUGGAAGUAUGCAGUGUGGCUGCCAGGUACUUGGAUUGUAUUGUCGGGUAAGGUAAAAGUGGAGAAUUAUAAGUUUGAACAGAGCAUGUUGGACUUUUGUUGACCAAAUUCAAAAGCCCAAUGGGACGGUCCAGAAGCUUUUGAAUAGAAAAACUUGCUAGAAAGCAUCAGUUUAAAUCACUACUUAAACGCUUGCUUUAACUGCACCGCUUUGUACUGUUUUAUGUAUGUAGCGGUUGUGCGGUUGUAAUUCACGGCUGACGCUACGUGUUUGUUUGUACUGUUCUAUUCGGUGACAGAGUAUUAUUAGUUAGGCCAAAACUAUGUUGCAACAGUGGUACAAUAGCACUGUUGUUUUCAGUCAUUAGAUCUAUAGUUGUACAGUUGCAUUAACAAGAUCCAAUGGUUGAAAACAACAGUGGUACCGAACUACUGUUGCAACAUAGCUGGACCCUAUUAGUUAUUUCAAAGGGAUAAAUAAGAUUGGUUACAACAAACCUACUAAUUUUAUAAAAUUCAAGUAAUAUAGAAUAAAAUAAAAAAAUAAAUACAAAAUUGACUUUUAUUUUUUAUGGUUGACUAUAUUUUGUGUUCUCUUCGGGCACUGCUACAAUUCUUCCCUAUAUAUCAAUUACACCACAUACUAUCGACACAAGAAAUGAAAUCUAAUAUCACCUAUUUAGUUAAAAAAUCACUCAUGAAAAAAUUUUACCAUUUUGAUUUGAGGAUCCAUAUUUUGAACUACAAGCUAAUGUUCAUCAAGAAUCACUGAUGGCCGUUGAGUAGAAAAAUUAUUUUUGGACAAAUUAUUUUUGUUGAUAGAAGAAUUUCUUUAGGGACUACUAAAUUAUUAAUAAAAAUAUCGAACACACCCAAAUAUCAUCGACACAAUUGAUUUUGAGGAUCCAUGCUUUGAACUGCCGCCUAAUGUUCAUCAAGAAUAGAGUAUGGCUUGUGAGUAUAAAAUUUUCUUAUUUUGGCCCGAAAUAAAAAAAAAUUAAAUUGGAUGAGAAUCUGCCACUUUCUCAUGAAGAAAGGCAUACGGAGCAUACCAUGGUACCAUACAAUAUAAGGAGCCUCCGUUCUUUGGUUUUUCAAACUCUGAAGGGGCCAAUAUUGCCAAAUUCCCCCUUGAAAAUUCUGAUUACGACAUUAUUCAUCGCUUGAUGCAAUCAAAGUAGUGACAAAGUAAUUGCUAGGCAAGGUUGCUGAGAGCAAAAUUGUCCUAAGCAUUAUAUGCAUACAUGGUGCGGUACAUAGAGCACGUUGAAUUCCCCACUAUAACACAAAUCCAGAAAGACAAGUAAUAACUCAACUGAUAUAAAGACAAAAAGAAGAUAAAAUGAUAUAGAACAAAGAAUUUCAAAGAGACAGCAACAUACGAUAGACUGAAGCCACUUGAUCUGCUCAUUGAUUGCAGCCUUAAACUUGCAAAUAGUUACUGUACGCUAGUGCUCUAAGAAGUGAAAAUGAUGCAAGCCCUGAUUCCCUUUUGACUUCCAUUUACUGUCAAACAUUCUAGUAAUACAAAAAAUUGUUUAGAUAUCUUGCUAUAAAUAUAGCCGUUUGACUGUCAUAAUAAAGUCACAAAUAACCAUUCAUAUUGAUCUACUAUCACACAGCAUGCUUUAUGCAUACAACAGCUGUAUGUAUACCAACUCCUAACCUUAUCAACACAUUUGGCAAAAACUUAGGAAGAAAACUAUUUCUCCAUCUCUUUUUUGAAAUUUCACAAUAACCAGCACAAUGUGAAAGCUAUGUUCUAACCUUAUGAUAAAUGCUCCAGACUCCAAAAGGAUUUUAUAUAUGAGAGUUUGUUGCAGCAGAUAUAUUGACUUAUCAAGUAUGAAUCAUUGUCUGGAUGAACUAUCUUUAGAUAAAAGAAUAUUAGAACCACUGUAGAAUAUCUUUACGCUGCUGGUUCUAACAGGAAUCUGCAUGUGGCAACAAUUGCUAGAUCCACAACUCCCCAACUUGAAAUACAUAGUUGCACACCAUGAGAUAGUGCUACAAUCUACUGAGAUCUAACUUAUAUGGUACUUUAAGCUACUAAUGUUUGCAUAUUUCUACAUGUUAAAUUAACACUAUUAUCUAUAAUCACUCCAAAACAACAAAUGAUAAGCAACUUUUGGCCACUUAUUACUAGCAUCCACAAUUAUAAAUAAGAGAUCAUGGGUUUACUUGUUGCACCUACUUAAUUAUCUGCAGUUGACAUCCUGACGCAAGGUUUAAAUAGUGACUGCUUAGAACCCUUGUAGUUGGAUCUUGACCUCUCCCAUUGUAGCCAAGAUUGGUUACUCUGGUAAUGAAUCAACACUCUCCUGCUCAGGGCCAUGAAGAUCUGAAAGCUCAGCACUAGUGGAGAACUUCAUCAAUCUCUUCUUCUCAGCAUACUUGAGACAAGGCUGCCUUACGAGACCAAUCACCAUAGCACCAACGCUUAAAACUGCAACUUUUAAAGAAGAAAGAGCCAACACAACACAACACAACACAAAUCAAUAUGGUUGGAGGAAUACACAUGAUAAUGGCUCCAACAGUGACAGUGGGUAUCUUGUAGGGACGAGAUGCAGCAGGAUAUUGCAUCCUUAACCAUACAAAUGCUAUGAACUCCAUAAUCAUUCCAAAACAGUACAGGAAGUUCUCUGCAGCUACAAUAUCUCAAAAGCUCAGCCAUGAUAGCAAAACCACACCGGAUGCUGAGAAUAUGAUUCCAAUCAAAGGAGUCCCAUAACAAGACCUCUUAGCAAAAAACUCAGGUAGCGUUCCACGCUCAGCCAUCCCCAAAAGUUGGAAAGAGUCGCUGCUCAUCUCAGCCACAAACAUGCCCAUAUUGGACAUUGCUGCAGCCCCCUGGAUGCACCAUCUCAACCAAACUCCUCCAAGCACUUUAGCGAUAUCUGAAAAGUAACCAUCGGUCCACAAGUCGCGAUCUAAUGGAAUAGCUCCAGUUCCAACUAGAAGGGGAAAGAAAUAUCCAAAAACGACCAAGAUCAAAGCAUAAAACAAAGCCUUUGGAAGAGUCUUCUUUGGGUUAUCCACCUCUCCAGCUAGUUUACUUAUUGAGUCCCAGUAGUUGGAGAUUCCAAAACAGGGUGUUCAAAUACAAAUUCCAGUCCACUUCACCUAAAUUUACUACAAGCCAUCUUGAAGGCUCUAACUUGGGAAGGGACACAAGUCCCAUAACCACAAAAGGAAGGAAUGAGAAAAUCUCUAAAAGAACAGCAGCCCAUCCCACAAUGGUUAGACCCCUAUAGUUCAUGAAAGUGAGAACAAAAGUCAAAGCUAACGCCGCAAAGGCUCUAGGUAACCCAUCGCCCAAAGCAGGGAUAUACCAGACUUCAAGUAGUCAAGAAACAGAACUGGGUAUAAAGCAUUAUCAAUAACCCCACUUAGCCAUUUCAUCCAAACUUGCUGAAAACCCCAAUAUGGGCCUAAGGCAGAUGAAACCCAAACCACAUAACCACAAUUUUCAGGAAACACGGUACCCAUCUCGGCAGUAAUUAAAGCUUCAGGGACACUCCAUAUAAUCGGAAACACCAAGAAACCAAGAAGUGCUAAAAGAGGACCAGCUGCCUUUACACUAUCCUCAACACCAAACGCCCCCCCAGAAACCUCAUAGAAUAUAAGGAAAAUAAGUGGCAAGAUUGAUACUUUUUUAGCGCCAUGGACUCUAGGAGAAGAUGGUUGGUCAUUGAUAUUAACAUAUUCAACAGCAUCAGACUGCCCCAUUUCUACUGAAAGUUGCCUAUUCACAGUGUUCCUCAAUUUCUGCAUCAAGUUUAAGCAUAACUAUCAAAAGGGUAUCGGCAUCUAAAUUAUGAAACAAAAUGAGCAUUUACUUAUUAAAAAAAUUCAAAAAAACAGAAAUGGAUUUCACAGAACACAUGAAUUUAAGUUCAACAUUAAACAGGCGCUUAAGAAAACAAAAGGGUCUGGUCGUAAAGCCAUCAGAUUGCAAGAUUGAACAACAUUAACGGAAUCAAUAGAAUCGAUGUAAAGAGAUCUGAAAAGAAAAUAAAAUAAAAGAUGAAGAGGGAUAAAACGACCCAUCAAAUAAGUGCAUGCAGAGCAGAGAGGCAGAUACUAGAGAAGCUCCGUCAUGUUAGAGAGAGCCUAAAUCAAUCAGAGCUCACUGAGUUUCUUUUCAACUGACCGGCAGAUUUGGAGUAGCAUAACAUAAUAUUUUUGCUUUUAAUUUUCGGAACACUUUUGAAUGGAAUUUUUUGUUUUUCAAAACUAACGAAAUCGUAAAAAUAAAUAAACACGUGUUUGGUUUUGGGCUUCUUCUUUUGUUCAUUUAAUAUCAUUUGGUUCCCUGAUUUUUGACUAAUUAUCAACGGUAUCCUGUUAGUUUCCAAAUUGAAAUAAUAUUAGGUCAUGAGAUUAUUUACUCCAUUUAGCAAUGUAGACUUAAUAGUGUAUUGAAAAAGCUUUGUCAAAUAGUAGUAAUAGGGGCAUAAGAAAUAAGUUCUUCAGAAUUUAGAUAAUAUACUUGGCUCUAGGAAGAUUCCCCUCUUAUCACUCAAGUUAGGCUUUUACCUUAGAGUUGAGUAAAUUAUUAAAAUAAAUUAUAGCUAUCACAAAUUCGUCAGGAGACUUUCAAUUUUUUUCCAUCAAAUGGCAAUGAGGCAAAAUUACCUCAACUUAUAUUUCAAAACUAAUACUUCAAAUUCUGACAAUAAAUUUGAUGACAGUCAAUUUUAUGUAUAGUAAUUUUGACUCUUUUGUUUGGUCUAAAAGUAAUUAUUUAAAAUGACAAUAUAACUUAUUUAGAAGAAAUGGUAAACUUAUAGUUCGUAAUAUUAUUUACACAAAUAAUAAAGACUAAUUUGAUAAUAAUCUUUCAAAUAAUAAUGAAGUGUUAAUUACUAUUUAACAUUUUUGAUUAAUUUCUAAAUUUAAAACAAAUAUGAAAGUUGAUUGCUUUGAAGGUUGGAUCGUGACAAAUUGACAAAUGAAAAGAGAAGUAGAGAAUAUAUAUUCUGAUGAAAGGGACAAGAUUCAGCAAGGGGACAAUAUUCUCUAUUGGACCGACAAAUGGGGGAAAAGAAUAUAUAUAUAUAUAUAAUUUCUUAUUUGUGGAUUGGCCAACACGUGUAACAAAUAUGAAAAGAUAAAAUUUGGCGUGGUUUUAACCGAUAUAAGACAAGAAGAACAAAGCAAAGCCCAUGAAAAUUCACCUUUCAUGUGGGUUGGAUCGGAUAAAAUCAAUAUCUUGAAUCAAACAAAAUGUUUGGUACAUAAAGUUUUUUUUUUUUACAUGAUAUUAGAUUUUUAUCCCUCGAAUUUUUACAUGAUAUUAGAUUUUUAACCCUCACUAAUAUUCGAGAGAUAUCUACUCCUCAUUUUUGGGUAAGGGAGAAGACUACCUUCACUCAAUUAUAAUUAAGGAAUGAAAUACCCCCACAUUACACUUGUAGGGGUUCAAACUGUUGCCCUCCAACUUGGAGUGCAGCAGCGCUGACCACUCGGCCAAAGUCCGAGUGGCUGGUACAUGAAGGUUUUGAGUGUGUGUAAUGAGCCAAAAUUUACAUAAGGAUAUUUUAGUAAAUAUAAGAAAAAAAGGCUCAGGGAAUGGCCUAUAGAUAGAAGCACGCAGCCCAUGAGUGAUGAGAAUACAAUUUAACUGUUCAAACUAAUUAGAAGCAAAUUCUUUCAUAUCUUUCUUUAAUUUUUCCGCUUAGUUCCUUAGCAUCCAAUCAAGUUCAAGUUAAAACACUGUUGAGACAACAAUAUGCAGGCAUCAAUAAGCAUAGUAGUUUUUUAUAUGUAUUCUAUACGACAAUUAUAGAACUUUUUGCAGCAACUUUUUUUCAUUAACUAAUGUUUGAAGAACUUGUUAAAAAAAAUGGUAAAUUUAUAAUUUUGAAAAAAAAGAAAGAAAGUGACGUUACCUCAUCGUCAUUAGAGACUUGUUGCAAUGAUAGCUCAAAAUUAAAAUUUUUGAAGAAUUAGUAGACGACGAUGAUGUAAUAUUUAUACAGUCACCAACAUGUUGAUUUUUGUUUAAUGUUUGAUCGAUAGAAACGCUUGUCGUCGUCGCUGUUGUUGAAUUCAUACAUAGAACACAGAAGAGAAGGAGGGAGGAAAGGGAAGAGAAGAAGAGAGAAGUGGCAUAUAGCAAAUAUGAUAUGCUAGCUGCAUACCAGCCUUAGAGAGAUUUUUUUUAAUAUUUAUUAUAUUUUUGUUUUUGUUAUUGGUUUGUCAUAUGCUUCCAGGGAAGCAAUACGUUACAUCAUAAAUUGCACCUUUUAGGGGAGGUGGUAAAAAACGUGAGAGCACUACGCUCCAGCGCAUACAUAUAGAAAGAGUUUUCGAAUUUUAAAAAGUUUCUUUAUUUCUUCCAUGUUUUUGUGCUUAAAAUAAAAUUUAAUUGUAUUUUGCAUUAACUUAGAAAAGAAAAGCCAGUUCUAUAUAUAAACUCAUGCAUUAAUUAGAAGAGUUGAACUAUUGGCACCCCUCUAUAAUCUUUAUAAAAUUCCUCUCCUAUUGUAAUUACAUUAAAGGACAAAAUAAAUCUAAUUAUAUCAUUAUAUUUCUCUUUUCAACUCUUUACACCCGUGCAACUACACCAAAGUCUUUUACAAUUUUUGUUUCCUCACAAACAACUUUUUCUUGAGAGAUUUACAAAACUUAUUUUUAAUUUUAAAAAAUAAAUAAUAGUUAUUUGAGUCCACUUUAAUUUACAAAACUUUCUAAUAAUAAGUUUUGUAGACUUAUUUUUCAUUUACAAAACUUUCUGAACUUAUUUUUAUUUUUAAAAAAUAAAUAAUAGCUAUUUGAGUCCACUUUAAUUCUACUUAAUUCAUACAUGUAUUUGAUUUUUUUGAGUAAAAUAUGUAUGAUUUAAUAAUUCAAAAAUUUAUAAAAACAAUAUUUGUAAUUGGAGUUAUUUGGAAGAAACUGAAUUGUUUUUCUUUUUGAAUAAAAAAAAGCUGAAAAAAGAAAAAGGAUAUUUUAGGAAUUAAAAUAGAUUUUGAUAGAAAAGGGGUUUGAACAGAAAAUUACAGGGUGCUAAUAGUCCCACUCUAAUUAAAAAAUGAGUUCAUGUGGAUGCAAAUGUACAAUAAAAGAGAUUCUCUUUUGUAUAUUGGAAGUAACAUAACUAGUGAGUAUAAUAUGUAAAUACAAGUUACCAAGAAUUUGCACUAGUGCUAAUUAAUGGCACAACUUUUGAGCUAUGAAUUUCUUCUUGAUAGUUUAAUUAUAUUUUUGAGUUUUCGGUAAACCUAUUUUAAUAAUUAUUAAAUUAUUUUCACUUCUUACGCCUUAAUAAAAAAAAAUCAAUAUUUUCUGGUCUAUUCUAUAUUUUGAAACUUAAUUUUUAAUUCUUUAUAUUGCAAACCAAACUAAGUCAAACAGAGUAUGCUCUUCAAAGAAUUUUUCCAUUGGCCAUUGCCUUCAAGAAGAUUUUAUUUUAUUUUUAUAUAUUAAUUUAACAUUUUUCCGUGCACUUGUAAACCGGGCCGUCGGAUUCCACAUAAAGCAAAUGAUCAAACCGUUACAAGACCGACCCGGACCCACUGACUCUCAUUUUCUUUCAUUUGACCAUUAAAAGCUUUUGACCACCCCCGCCAAAUAAAUAAAUAAGCUCUUGUUCUCUUUUGUUCCUUCUUAAAGGAAAAUAUAUCUGAUCACCAGAUAAUGAUUCCGGUGUCACAAAAUAUCAAGACAACCCCUAAAUUCCCUUAAAUUUACGAUAACACCCCACCAUGGAUGAUUCCGUUGAAAUGCCGCCUUACGAUGAAAGGCCUUAGAAGGGUUUUAACUUCACACCCAUGCGCUUGAUCUUAACCCUCAUUUUCCCAAUUUUAACUUUCUUUUCGUUGGCAUUUUUGAUCGAGAUCGUUACUGUUUUAUUCGGCGAAUCAUCAGUUUCGAGUUCCAUUUUUGUCCCUUCCCAGUGCAAGAUAGUGCCAGCAGUAAGCUUUUUUAAAAUUUUCAAUUUUUUUCCAUUUAUGAAGCUCAAAAAUUUUAUUAAUUUUUGAAUUUUUUUUGAAUGAUUUUGCAGGUGUUGAUAUAAGGUCAUCAAAGGUUUGUGAACUUGGAGUGUUGAAUUAUAAGGCGAAGCGUGUGUUUUAUCCAUUUGAAGCAAGUAAAUUUCGCCGUCGAUAUGAUUACUAUUGGGCUUCUAUCUUCAAGGUAUUCAUACAUUUUCUCAACUUUAAUUACUUACCUGUACUAUUAGCUUCUUAGUGGCGGUCUUGUUUUGUGUUUUUGAUGAAUGUGUUUAAGGGUCAGUUUGGGAAUGCUGGUAAUAGGAUGUUGUUAGUGUUUGGCAGUAAAUUUGCUAUGCAUAAUUCAGCAAUGUGCUUGAUUUUGGUUAUUGUCUUUAACAAUUUUUAGGUAGAGUACUUAGAUCAUUCACUGGGACAAACGCAGAGCUUGGUUGACCAAAGAUAAGUUCCAGGCUGGGGUCGGCAAUGCAGAGCUUCUGCGUGUAUUAAAAUUUGAAGCCUAGUAAAUGAAUUUCUAAUUUAUUUAUAGUGUUUGUUUUAUCUUGAUAGAAAUGAAUGCUAACUCAAGAUUUUCCCAACUUUGAUUACUUACCUGUACUAUAAGCUUCUUAGUGGCGGUCUUGUGAGCGGUGUGGCUGACAGCUUCUUGAAAAUUAUAAGUUUGAACAGAGCAUGCUAGACUUUUGUUGACCAAAUUCGAAAGCCAAAUGGCACAGCUCAGAACCUUUUGAAUUGAAUAACUUACUAGAAAGCUCCAAUUUUUUGUUGGCUACGGUAAAAGGAUGUUGUUUUAUUCUUCUUAUACUUUACGCUUGCAUCAGCUUAAAUCACUUCUUAAACGCUUUGCUUUAACUCCACCGCUUCAUACUGUUCUAUAUAUGUAUCGGGUAUGCGGUUGUAGUUCACUGCUGAGACUACGUGUUUGUUUGACGUGGUAAUUACGUUACGAGUCUGUUAAACAUUCGGUGAUUAAAGUAUUAUCAGUUAUUUCGAGGGGACAAAAAAGAUUAGUUACAACACACCCACUAGUUUUAUAAAAUUUGAAUAAGAUGGAAUAAAAUAAAAAAAUAAAUAAGUAAAUUGACUUUUAAUUUAGUGGUUGAAUAUAUUUUGUAUUCUCUCGGGGUACUGCUGUAAUUGUUCCUUAAAUGUCAGUCACACCCACAUGUUACAGACACAAGAAAUGGAAUCUAAGAUCACCUGUUUAAUUAAAGAAUCACUCAUGAAAAAAUUUUGCCAUUUUGAUUUGAGGAUCCACAUUUUGAACAACCAACUUAUCUUCAUCAAGAACAGAUCAUGGCCUGUGAGUAGAAAGAUUAUUUUUGGACAAAUUAUUUUUGUUAAUAGAAGAAUUUCUCAAGGGACUAUUAAAAUUACUAAUAAAAAUGUCAGACACACCCACGUACCAUCGACACAAUUGACUAUGAGGAUCCAUGUUUUGAACUGCCACUUAAUGUUCAUUAAGAACAGAGUAUGGCUUGUGAGAAGAAAAUUUUCUGAUUUUGGCCUGGAACAAAAAAAAAUUAAAUUGAAGGAGAAUCUGGUACUUUCUCAUUAAGAAAGGCAGACGGGGCAUACUAUGGUACCAUAAAAUACGAAAAGUCUCCAUUCUCUAGCUUUUUAAACUCUGAAGGGGGCAAUAUUCCCCAAUUACCCCGUGAAAAUUCUGAUUACGACAUUACUCAUCGGUUGAUACAUAAGUACAAGUACUGACAAAAUUAGGAAAAAUAUGACUCAUAAGUAAUUACUAGGCAGGGCUCUUGAGAGCAACAUUAUACUAGGCUUUAUAUGCAUACAUGGUGUGGUACAUAGAGCACGUUGAAUUCCACACUAUAACACAAACCCAGAAAGACAAGUAAUAUCUCAACUGAUAUAAAGACAAAAAGAAAAUAAAAUGAUAUAGAAAAAAGAAUUUCUAAGAGACAGCAACAUACAAUAGACUGAAGCCAGUUGAUCUGCUCAUUGAUUGCAGCCUUAAACUUGCAAAUGUUUACUGUAGCCUGGUGCUCUAAGAAGUGAAAAUGAUGCAAACCUUGAUUCCCUGUUUACUUCCAUUUACCAUCAAACAUUCUAUUCAUAAGAAAAAAAAUCUUUAGAUAUCUUGCCGUAAAUAUAGCCAUUUGAUUGUCUUAAUAAAGCCACACACAACCAUUCAUAUUGAUCCACAUUGCCACAUAGCCUGAUUUAAGCAUACAACAGCUGAAUGUAUACUGACUCCUAACCUUAUCAAUACAUUGGCGACAACUUAAGAAAAAAACUAUUUCUCCAUCUCUUUUUUGAAAUUUCACAAUAAAACAGCACAAUGUAAGAGCUGGAAUGAAAAUGGACCGUUUGGAACUAUGGCGGAAGCUUCAACUAGUGUAGUGAGUUGACCUUCUUAUUAACCUAGCGAGAUCAAACACUGCCCUUGAUCUUGAACAUAUCAAUACGAUACGCACAACUUAUGAUUGAAUCCAGAAACAAUCAAAUCUUUAGCAAGAAUAAUUAAUCAGAAUCAAGAAACAAGUUUAAUGAAUAUAAACCUAUAAUUGGAACAAACACAGCCAAAGAACCCAAGAAUGACACAACGAACACCAAGGGAGAAGCUUUCCAGUGAGAUUAUAUUAAUGAUCAAAGAAGAAUCUUUUUACAAAGAUAACAAAAGAGAUUUCAGAGAAUAAGCUAUGACCCUCUCUCUCUUCAAUCUCUGUCUAGUUUGUUAACAGUGAUGACCCCAAUCUGCUUCGUUAGCCAGCUUCAUAACUGCGUCAGUGACAAACUAGCAAACCCAGAUUGAGCAGACUAACGACACGUGCAUAACGGCUUUAACGAACUUGGUUAAAGAACUGCUCACAUGUUCGUCACGCGUGUUGCUUAAAUGAUAGCCAAAACGACUUCAACCAAAUGCCGUUUUGAAGCUUAUGAAUUAUAAGUGAAAACACGUGCUUGUCUCGUGACAUUUAAAUGCAACAACAAGCCCAAAACACUGCCGGUUCACUAUGUUGAGUUUGCCAUCUCUAAGCUUCACAACUAGCAGCGGACAAGAUGAUAAUUUAAUUGACAUGGAGAGCUUUUAUAUCACUUUUACAACAUUCUAUAUAAUUGUGAUAUUGGGAAUCGUCGGUGUUGUAUAUGUGAACCCUCGUUGGCGACACUGGUGGUUUUAUCUUUAUUGAAAUAUGGAUGACUUUUCGUUACUAUUUUGUUGUACAUAACAUUAUUCUCAGGAGAUUUAAUCAUUGAAAUUAACAUGUUAGUUUCAUUAGAAGGCUGAGUGGUUAGGGCUGCUACCCUCCAACUUGGAGGGCAAUAGUUUGAACCCACAAGCGCAGUGUGGGGGUAUUUCAUUCUUUAAUUACAUUGUAUAAUUGAAUAAAGAUAAUAUUCUCUCUUACCCAAGUGUGAGUGGAGUAGACAUCCUUCGAAUAUUAGCGAGGGUUAAAACUUGGGCAGAGCUCAAUAAGUAUUGAUGUAAGUUGGUCCUAAUAAUAGUCUGAUUUGUAAAUAUCAGUUAUAGUCUCAUGUUUCCUUCCUUAAUUAUAUUGUAUAAUUAAGUAAAUGUACUCUUUUCUCUUACCCAAGUGUGAGUGGAGUAAACAUCCCUCGAAUAUUAGUGAGGGUUAAAAUCUGGGUAGAGCUCCAUAAGUAUUGAUGUAAUUUGAUCCUAAUAAUAGUAUGAUUUGUAAAUAUCAGUUAUAUUAUCAUGUAAUAUGAGUUGUAAUUUGAGUAAUAAUUUCAUGUAAUUACAAAAAAAAUGUUACUUUCAUUACUUUUUUCUUCGUUAAAAUUCUCAAGUAUCAAUUAUGUUUGCUUAAGAAAUAAAAUUUCGUUAUGAAAAUUGUAGCAGUAUUUCCGAGCACCUCACAUUUUCAAUGAUUUUUCAUAAAUCAAUUAAUCUGCCAUACCAAUAUCAGGUUUAGUUUUUCAGACUAAAUGAUCAAGAAAGCAAACAUACAAAUUCACAUUUUAGAGGGGUAAACUAGCUUUUAGAUUUUAGAACUAGGCUAGCUACCUCACCAAAUUCCAAUCUGUACAGUGAACUACAAGAUUAAGAAAAUAAUGUAUUUAUAGUUUAAUUGAAUCAUGAGAAAACAAUGUAGUCAUAGCUCAAUCGGACAUGAUCACGGAGAGGCAUAUUCUUUUCAAGUUAAUUUGAUCCAUUUAUAAGAAAUGAAGUGGAUUGAAGUUAAAAGUUCAAAUAACAAAUCCUUGUUCUUGAGUUUUACGACGUCGUUACUCCUUCAAGAGGCUGAUUAUGCAAGUGAAUGCGGAAACAGAAUGCAUUAUCCACGGGGAUGAUAAAUCAAAAGGCGGGAUCAUAGUCUAUGCCCGCAGAUUAACAAUUUCACUCAUAUAGAAAAUUAAUUUUUUUAUAUAUACUAAUCAACACUAGAUUGAUUAUGUUUUGUAUGUUUAUAUGCUAAUCAACAAUAAAUUAUAUUAAAUGAAGAAAUGCUUCAAAUUUUUCUAAUUUAAUUUAGAAAAUCAAUUAUUAACAUUAAUAUUCCUAAUAAAAAUUAUUUUCCAUCGGUAUUCAAAAUUUUCACUUAUAGAAAAUGUGUUUUACGUGAAUACAAGUUAUUGUGUAAAUUUGAAUGAUAGCGAAAAAUAAUUUUUUUAAUUAUUGUAAAAAUAAUUAACCAUAACAAAUCCCUUGUGUAAAUAAUAAUCAUUAUUUAAAAGGUAGAAAGAUGGUUAGUGCACAAUCAAAUUUUAAGCCCCUACCUCCUCGGCCCAAGAUUCAAACUUAGAUGAUCAGCCAAAUAAAAUUAUUUGAAAAUCAUUCAAUCAGGUUCUCGGGGAAAAAAUACAAGAUCCGUAUUUGCAUGAUAUAUAUGAAUUAAUGUAAUUUAUUUGAAUUAUCCAAAUUCAUUAGAGAUAAAACUAUAAAAGAUACCAAAAAAGUUAGAAGGAAGGGUGUGCUGGGAUAUUUUACAAACUAUAGGAAUCUGGUGAGAUUUUGAGCCAAACUGUAGGGAGUUGAAGGCAUUUGCCCAAUAUGUUUAGACGUACACUAACCGUUAUUUGAUCUUGUUGUUGGUCAUGUGAACUAAGAUGUAAAUUAAAGAAAAAGUAUAAAAUUAAAAAAAGAUAAGAUUUCUAAAAUGUGUGGAAGGUGAUUCAUGAUUCACUAAAAUUACUUGCCCCACAUAUAAAGGUAAACAUGUCUAAUUUCAUUAAAAAUAGGUGGAAAAAAUUAACUAAUAGAAAGCUACGGAAAUUAACCCCCACAAAAAUGACUUUUUAUAGAAGAAUUUAUGUUUUUUAAAAUAUGUUAUCAAAGUGUAUUUGAUCAAAUCUCAAUUGCUUAGUAUGGUUAGGAUUUUGUGAACAUAACUAAAAAGUGAAAAAUAUGAAUGAUAGGGGUGAUGCUUGCAAUAUGAAUAAAUAAUGGACUGAUUCAAUUGAUGAUUAAAUUUAUAUAUUAUUGAUUAUUUAUGAAUUUUCAGACUUGUUAUGAUGUAUAACUAUGUGAUUUUGAAACUUGAAACCGUGGCAAACAUUGAAAGGAAUUAUAACUUGAAAUCAUGACUCACGGGGUAUGUCAUGAUUCACGUGCACAAAAAAGGUAGAAUUGUGGAAAUUUACAACCCAACGACAAGUACGGAAAGAAAGGAAGAAAAUUAAAAGACUUCGGGCCUAGCCUGCGUGUAUUAAUUAUUAGAUUACUUUUUUUUAUAAGGGUAAUCAUCAAUUUACUCCAUAACAAUCUUUAAUUCAUUUCUUAAAAAUAUCAAAACUUUAAUUUAUCUUUUAAACAUCGUUACCUCUCUAUUGGUUUUAACAGUUCAAAGGGUAAAAUUAUAUUUGCAUAUUUUCUUGACCGCCAACUAAAUGAUAAAACUCAAAAUUCAAUCUUGUUAUCUUGUUUCAAUCCUCUAUCAAUCAAAUAAGAUUUCUAAAAUAUGUGGAAGAUAUUGCAUGAUUUCCUCAACCUACCUGGCCCGAACAUCAAGGUAAAUAUCUCUAAAAUAGUUGAUUAAAUCUCAGUUGCUAAGUAUAGUUAGGAUUGUGUGAACAUCACUGAAAACUAUGAUUGAUAGAAGUGAUCUUUGCAAUAUGAAUAAAUAAUUAACUGAAUCAAUUGAUUUAUAUAUUAAAGUUUAUGAAUUUUCGGGCUUGUUGCGAUAUAAUAAUAGCAUAUGAUUUUGAAACUUGAAACAGUGGUAAAUAUUGAAAGGAAUUAAUUUGAAAGCAUGAUCCGUGGGGAAUGUGAUGAAUCGUGUUUACAAAAAAGGUAGAAUUGUGGAAAUUUAUAACAGAACGAUAAAUAUGGUAAAAAGGAAGAAAAUUGAAAGACUUGGGGCCUGGCCUGGGUGUAUUUUCUAACUAUCCAAUGGACAAAAUUAUAUUUCUAUACUUUCUCUUACCUAAGUUUCAUAGAAUAGCUCAUUUCAUUUUUAUUUUUUAAAUAAUAGCCCAAAAUAUCAUUAUGUUAACUCAUUAUUAGUUGAAUGGCGUUUGUUAGUAAUUCAUUAAGGGUAAAAAAUGAUUUUCUAUCAAAGAGAAAAUUAGAAAAAUAAAUAAAAAUUGAUAUAUAACUAAAAAUUAUUUUAUCUAAUCCCACUAAAUAAGAAAUGCCAAAAAAGAUGAAAAAAUUAUAUUUCAAGCAAUUCUUUUUUCACUUAUUUCUAUUUUGGCAACAUGAAAGCCCUAUAAACCCUAGAUCUAAGUACCAAAAAUAUCACAAUUUUCUUAUUCAUAUAAGUAUACUCUCUAAUUGCAUUGUAAAAUGGCUUGAAUUGAAUUGAAGAUAAAGAAGAUAUUCAGCACAUGCAAGCACAUAAAAAUUGGUGGCAUUUUUGAGUUUUUCUUCCAAUGAUUUAAAGAUAUUGUUUUAAUUACAGUUUGUUCCUUAUGACAAUUAUUCAAUGGCGAUAUCAAACUAUAUCAUCGUUGAUUUCAUUUAAGAAAAAAGUUAAUGAAUUUUGCAUACUUUGUAGUGUUAUUUAAUUGUGUAAAAAAAUUAUUUUAAUAUAGUUUGUAUCGCUUUAAUGAAAAAUCCUAUUUUGCCCUCAAUGAAUUACUGGUUAACGAUUUUACACUAAUGGUGAGUUAAUGGAAAGAUAUUUUAGGCUAUUGUUUGAAAAGUAGGGAUAAAAUGAGCUAUUGCAUUAAACUCUAAGGAUGAAAAAUGAUUUUUCCCUUUUAUUAUCAAUCAACUAUCUGAUAAAAGUCAAAACUCAUAUUUUUUUUUCCCUUGUUUCAAUCCCCUCUCAAUCAAAAAAGUUUCCUUGUCUAAGCAAUGAGGAAUAUGGCUAGAAAGAUUGUUAUUAGAAAGAUUUAUCAAUAGUAAUUAGUUCACAACUGAACAGUUUUAGAUUAUUGUGAGUCAAUAUAGGUCCUGUUUAGGAUUGAAGUGUUGCAGUUUUUAAGCUACAGCUGCUGUAGAAAAAAAAACUAUAAUUAUGAAAUAAGAGUUAAUAAUAUAUAAUAAAUAUAAAUUUUAAAUAAUAAUUUUGACAAAAUUAUUAAAAAUAUAAUAGAUUUUUCAUAAUACAAAUAAAAAAAUCAUAUCAACAUAGCUUGCAAGGUACAACAGUUAGUAUGAUGUUAGUUUAUUUUUGCGUCAAUAUAAGUAGUCAAAUUGAAUAAGUUAGUGAAAUGCUGCCUCACUGUCCCAUUGAAUAUGAUUCAGCUAACAGGGCUAGAGCUUGUGGAUGCCAAUGGCACUGAACAAAGUAUUGGGUGGUAAUUUUAAGACCACGCUAUGCCCAAAACCCAAGUUAGGCGAUUACAAAUACGGGAAUCAAUGUCACUUUGCUAGGAAUGGAGAGGAUAGAUUGCUUAGUGAAAUGCAACUUUGUAGAAUGCUGAGAGAUGUGCUGAGAGAUGAGGAUAGUUGUCGAUUUCUUCAUGUAAAUGCUGAGAGAUGUGCGGAAGUUUCUACUCAGUUUAGGCUUAGUUUAAGAAUAGCCUGGUGAUAAACAUUUUGAGUGGUGGAUCUUCUGUGGAUAACAAAAGUAGGUCUAUUCAAUGGGAACGCGACAAGGGGCUGGCUAACUCGCUCAGGUUGUGCAAAUGUUAAAAGCAGAAUGCCAGUUGUAUGAAGUUAUGUCAUUUUCUUUAUAGAACUAUGAAAGCUUGGAGUCCACGAUUCAAUGGAAUCUCGGGCUGUGCCAAUGAUUGUUUCAAGUACUUUUUCUACUUUCAAUGUCCAGACUAAGACUAUUUCUAAGCAGCAAGUGCAGGAUAUAAAGUGCAAAUCAAAAUAGACAGAAGUGAAGAGGAAGAUACGUGGUAUAUAUGUUGAUUGGAUUGAAGAUAUACCACUUUUGCCUAGUUCUUAGAACAAAGCAGAAAGCUGUAGUUAAAAAUAUACCUUCUGCUAAAGAUAAGUAGUCAAUAGUUCUAUUAGUGCAUAACUUUGCGAUUAAGGAUGAUCGCUGUCUAUUUUAAGAGCUUUUAAUAGAAUUUAGUAGCCCUGAUUUUCAAUCUCAGUGUUUUGCGGCUGUUAUCGACAUCCCUCUGUUACAUUUUUCAAGUUUCAUUGAUAAAUUAGUAGUUAGCCUUAUGAAGAAUGCACACACCAUAACCAUGUACGUUAAAUAGCAAACCUGCAUUUUAUUGAACUGUGAACUACUGAUUCAAUAAAGCUCAACAUAAGCUAACAAGUCUUUGUGAAAUUGCUUCAUGGUACAUUGUUUGAAGUAUUUAAGCUAAUAUAUGAUUAUUAAUGGGCUCGUGAGCCAACCCCAUUAAUUAUAUGUACAUAUAUAUAAUGUUACCAUCAAUAUGAUAUGUGACAUCCCAUAACAGCUAAUUAUAGAUCUUUAUCCAUUUUCAUAAUUUGCCUUCUGGCUUCCACUGCUCGUCACUAAAUUCAAAAUCCAUUGCACCUCAAAACAACAUGAGAAAUCUUAUAGGCAAAUCAUGACCAGUUCAAAGAUAAUAGCGAUUAUAGGGAAAGAAAAUUAAAAUCGAAGACGCAUAUAAAAUAAUCAAGCUACUGAUGAACAAAAUAACAUGAAAGUGUAAGUAUUUAUACUAACCUUCACUUAUUAGGAAGUUUGUUUCGCUAUUGGGUAAGAUCAAGCUCUCUGCAUAUCCUAUUGGCAAAAGGAAAUCACGCACGUGUGAUCUCUCUCUCUCUCUCUACACACGCACACAUAUACACACGCAUAUACAUAUACAUGCAUGGUCAUCAUCUUAGAAACCGAUUGAGAAAUUAUUGUCAGAGUUUGAAUUUGCGCAAUGACUAGUCAUGUUGCUAAAAAGAAAAAAGAUUGAGAUUGAAAGAAAUUCAUUAUCAUCAAAUUGGUCCAAUAUCCACUUCACUGUGUGGAUCAAAUACGUUUUCGAAUAGUGCACUGAUCUACAAUCUACUGCAAUAAUUUGUUAGGACCCUACAUCAACAAAUUAUGGGAUUAGUUGGUUUAUUAACCCUAAUACAUCCGGACAAGUCAAUCCUUUCAUGAGAAACAAAAUGAAUUUUGCAUCCCAUGAAACACAACAUACUCAGCUAGUUGAAAUUGUGGAUAUACGGGGGUAACGUAAGCAUGCUUUCACAAUUUGAAAGAUUUAUUUUUUAAGAUUUAGUAUUUCUGGGAUCCUAUUGAGAUAGAGGGGUGGUGAAGGUCUAUAGAUUUUAACUUGACAGCUUCCUAUAACCAAAGAUACAUAACUAUACUAAAUGAGCAUCAUUGAAUUUCAAAGUUAUUCAUUAUAAAUACUUAAAGAAAGAAAAAUAGAUAUUUUGGUAAUAGUAAUACAUUAUACCUUUUCUCUUUUCCAAAUUUGCUUAACCUUACUACAAGGCAAGCUGAGUCCAAUCAGGUUCUCCAAUUCAAAAUCUGAUGUCAGUAUUUUCAAAAGAUAUUUAUGCCAAUGGAGAUUUCUCAAUUCUAUAGGAAGGCAUUUUUUUUUUUUGAAACUGAUUAAGCAUCAGUUGGUUACUGUAUUACACAGAGAUAUAUACAACUGCUAUGACAGCAGGUCAUUACACUGAUAUUUACAAUCAGAUAUAUACAUGUGACUUAUAUUAUUACAUUUUUAUUCUAUGAAGUACAUGCCCAUCCAAAUACCCCUCACAGAGGAGGGAUGUCUCUACUCCACUCCCAUUGCGCAAGGGAGAAAGACGUUGUAAGAAGUCUCCAUACAAUUAUAUUUAAUUGAGGGAGGUUGAGUCCGUGGGGACUCGAACCAUUGCCCUCAUAGUCAUGCUUAACUUUGAGGGCAAUGAUUCACCACUGGGCUACAAGCCCAAGUGGCUAUAGGAAGGCAUUCUAAACCUCAGUGAAGUUACACCCUGGAGCUUAUAAUUAGAACACCAUCAUACUCGGAUAUAUAAAAUUUCAGCAAUCUAAAAUUUGACAUUGUUUUAAAUGCUCCAGAAUCUAAACGUAUGUCUCUUAUCCUGGAGAAUUCAAGAAUAUACUUUCGGUUGCAUGUGUCCCUUCAGAAAAGAAGCAAAUAAUGAGUUCGCAUAAAUUUUCUCAGGAAAAAAAUCCUAAAAUUUAUAAAGAGCUCCUUAAAUGAAGACAAAACCUGCACUCGCUCAACUCUUUUUUUUUUUUUUUAUGUUGUUCUAGUCUUCUUCAAUCCCCCCCUCUAAAACUUUAAUCCAAGCGUUAAGUGUAAGUAAACUAAAAUAUGAUUUUCGUAUGCAAGUACAACACAACAUACCCAUAAAAAUGAAGAGCGGAAGUUAGAAUCAAACCUCCAGCAAUUGAUAUUUUGCAAACUGAUAUUUGAUUCUUCUGAGACUUAUGUAAUCGUUUUGAUGGUGCAGUUUUUGAAUUAGAUUACAUAGCCUCAGGUACUAAUACCAUUUUCACCAUUUUGUUUUUAUUUCAUCUUUCCAUCAAAGAUGAAGGGGUGGGAAAUUAUCAAAGCAGCUGUUAGAUGACACCUGCUUCUAGACCUGCAAGUAAAACCAAAGAAUGAGCUCCAUUAGAUACAUUUGAGUUAAUAAAAUCCCUUGUUCCUCCUAAUGAUUAUAGACAUUAAUUAGGAGGGAGAAAUGAAGUAAAUUAAAUUAAAUGAAGGACCUUCAUUCUCCACGCAUGCAGCCGGCUAUUUUGUUACCAAGUUGUUGAAAGGAAGUAAAUAGAGAAGCAUUCAGAUACCACUCUCCCAGAUCGAUAUUCCUAGUAAGACCAAGGUGUAGUUGUACCACUCGGCCUGUGGAGUUGCUGCAGUCAACCCUUUCCCUUUGUUCAUCUACCCAGUUUUGAAGUCUAUAAGGGGAAUUGAAGAAAUGUUUAAGCCACAAAAGAUCAAAUUCCUCAUGCUCCAAACAUCCCUCACUCCACCCCCCCCACCCCCCGGCGCCCUCUUCUAAUAUUAUUAAUACGAGAACUAACAUUGUCACCAUUUUGAAUUUUGAACCACCCAUUCUAGCUAUAUCUCUAACUAUUAAAAAACACACAUUCUCUCUUUCUCUAUAACUAUAAAUAACAAAAGGGCUCUAUGUUAUUUAUAACAAACACAUCUAACAAUUUAUACACUCAGGCCCCAGCUAGCUUUCAGUUGUCUUCUUUGGUAGUCUUCAGCCUUCUCAAAGACUUUCGUCAUGCCUUACUUUCAGCCUUCCUUUCCAUAUUUGUCAUUUUGCUUUAAUUUUCCACAAUUCUACCUUGGAUGGUAAUAUUUAAUUCGCCACGAAUUGAGUGAAACGCUGGUCCGUUACCCAUCCCACUUCAAUAUUAACAAUAUUAAUAAUAAUAAAUAAAUUCUUCAAGCAAUUGAGAUUUGACACCCACCCCACUUCAAUAUUAAUAUUAAUGGGAAAUCAUAAAUUCUUCUACAAAUGAGUCAUUAUUUUAAAAUUGUUAUAAGCUUAUUUAUUUAAAAAAAAAAAAACGAGAAGGGGAACUUGUUAUCUUAAAAUUAAAAGAUUCUGGUGUGGCUACCCGAAUCCGCACGUUUUUUAAGAUUUUUUUUCCAAUCUUGUGUACCGUUCAACACCUAUAUAUGCUUUGCAAUUGAUUAGUUAACAAAAUAAAAUUCUUGAUCAGUUGUGCGGUAAAAAUAAUAUUAUUUUACAAAGCUUUACCUGGUGCAGUCAAUACGGCUAGAAAUUAAAGGAUCCCCAGCAUGAUAAUUAAGGAAUAAUUAUUAUUCUAGAUUUGUGCAGUGGCGAAGCUAAUAGCAUUUUUCGUUUUCGAGUGAGCUGAACUUUUUCCCCCCCCUAAUUCAAUACAUUUUUAUCGUACAAUAUAAUUUUGUAAAUAAGAAAUUAUAGAUGCACCUAAUAAUGCGCGACAAAAUAAGCUUUACCUCUCAAAAUAUUUGUUCUAAACAUUAUUUAAAAUAAUUUAGACACAUAUUUAUUCACAAAAUGAUGAACAGACAAGAAUUUGAUGAUAAUUGAAGAGGCAGCAUAACUAAUUAAUAUAAAAAUUUUUAUAUAGGUUUCAAUAAAGGAAAUUUUGUAACUAAAUAAUUUUUUUUCUGAGAAGCCCGGCCUUGCCCUCUCCAAAAUUCGCCACUGAAUUUGUGGGGUGGUUACUGGAGUUCACACGUUUUCAAAUUUUUUUUUCCCGAUCAUUCAAUAGUAAUUUUGCUUUUUAGUUUAUUAUUAUUGUUGUUAUUAUUAUUAACUCAGGCAUUUAUUAAAGCUCGAACACAUAAUCUAAACUUUGAUAUAUUUUUUGCUGAGAGGAGUCAAAAUUUGGGAAUUAUAUGCGCAUCAUAACAUAAUAAACAACCGCAAAGUAUCCUACGGAAACUUUCAGUGCACUCUGACAGCAGCUUUUGGUAGUCAAAUAGUCUUGGAAUCAUUUUUUAGCGCAUAUUCUUUUCGGUAAUGUGAUGAAUUCAUAUCUAAAGAAUCAAAACUAUGAUGUGAAUUUGCUGCAAAAACUGAUCCAAGACUAUUCAUUCAUUAUUAAACAUAUGAUAUCGUCCGUAAGACUGGAGAAAUAUGAAUGAAUUUGUUGAUGAUAACUCAGAAGACGGUUAACGGUUAAAUAUGCUAUGUUGAAAUGCACUGUACAGUCAAUUAAUUUAGUUAGGACUCUGUUUCUAGAAAACAGAGUAUAAAAGAUGACUAACUGUUUUGGGAGAUGCUUUUGGAGGGACUUCUAGAUGAAAUUGAGAGAGAGAGAGUGUGAGAGAAACUCUGUAAAGUCUUCUCCAAUUGGUAACCCCUUUUGUUGCGAAUAAUAAAGCUUCAAGGCUGUUCAUUUAUUUGUACAUAAGCAGGGGGAAAGCCUAUGUAUAGACAGCUUCAAAUGAGGAAACUGCACCUAACUACGCAGCAGCUGUAAUGAAGAAGACAUUGAUGCAUUAGCUUCCUGUUCCGUCUUCUUGGUCUUCGGGGAGGUUGGUAGCAGCAACUUUAAUUGUUCAAAGCAAACACUUAUCUUUCGUUUCUCAUAAAACCUCGUGAGGUAAUGCUUUAGAUGACUGGUAUGCAAUAUUGUCAAUGACAAAAUGUAAUGUUGUAUUCUGCUGAUCAACAUGUAAAAACUACAUAUUACUUGAAUUAGUUUUUUUUUUUUUUAAUUUACUAAAUUUCAGAAUUUGUUAACGAUGUUUGUACUUGGUUUUAACUCGAUUAAAGCUCAUGAAACUUAAUUGAUUAAUUAAUCAUUUAGUUAAAUUUAUUCGCUUUCAUGCUAUGGAUCUUUGCUAUAAUAACAAAUGCUUAAUUAUAUGCGUAUGUGUGAUAUAAUAGCUGCGUCUUACAUAGCAUAACACUACACCAAAUAUGCCCCCCUCAGAUACUAAUUAAUUACACAAAUGUACUUUUAUUCAAUUUAUUAUUUAAAAUAAUAUUUGAAAAAAAAUGGACUUGAGCAGAGCAAAGUAGAGAUAAUAAACAAGGGUAGAUUAUGCAUGCGUCAAAAGAUUUUAAAAAAGAAAAAGAGAAAAUAUACGGAAAACAAGAAAAUUGCGGGGAGCCACUCUUGUCUUUUACUUUGGACUUGAAGUCGUUCCAGGUGGAUAAUGUUUUCCUUUUAAAUAUUUAGAAUUAUAUUGUGGCGCUAUUUAAAAUAAGUUAUAAUUUUCUUAAAAUCAGACUAUGAUUACGGUACUCCAUGGUCAGAGUGUCGUUGAAUAAUGCUGAGUCUAUUGAGUCCUUUUCAAAUCGAAACCAGAACUAAAGAAAAAUCCAGAACUGAAACAAGGGCACGAACCAGCAAGAUUUGAAGGAAAAAUUUACUUCGUUAGUGAUCAACAACUAAUCAAACGUAAGUGGAUUUACAGAAGACUUUGUACAGAUCACAAUGAAACAGAUUCUAUGCAAAUUGACGAACAACUGAAGAAGAAAAAGGAUCGUACAACAGGCACUGCUCAUAAGCUUCUAUUUAUACUGAUGUUUCUGGAAACGUUGUAACAGAUUAUAACUAAUUCGUGCCACGUCAGCAUAAAAUAUCUACUAGACCCAUUUAACUGAAGUCAAUCUGCACAACGACUCUGAACCUCUUCAUAUUUUCCAUUUCAGUCCACAGACUCAACUACACACGUCUCCAAAAAUAAUAAGUUUUAUUUAUUUAUUUUUAUUAAUAAAAUAAAUUUUUAUUAACUUUCGUUGAUUUUGGUAGAUUUUGUUUUUGAGCUGUUACUACACUGUCGGCUGGUGUGUCAUCAUACGUAGUAGCGUCAUCAACCCUCUCAUGACUUUGACGGCCGAAACAUGUUUCAUGGCACAAAUAAUGACAGAUUUGUUUGAGGUACGGCGGAGAUGCCUAUUCAAAUAUUUGAAGCCAGCCCCUCCUUGUUUAACAUUUUUUUUUUUAAAAGGGGAACAACUGCUUUAGCUGUAUAUAUCAAGAAAAUUAGCUAACAGUUUAUGCACUUAAUUAUUUAUUUUGCCACACAUUUGUAAGUGGUCAAUGCUGCCGUAAAAUUAUUAGACCCAAAAUAAAGUGUGAUGAGGGACAGGAAUUAAUGUUCCCAUUAGCUGUAGCACCUAUCUUCCAUCUCUAAUUUUAACUUUCGAUUGAUGAAGUGUUUUCAAAUUUGUCAAAUGUCUGUAAACUGUUUAAUAAUUGAAGAAAGUUAAAAUUCAUUUUCUAAAAAUUAUUUUCAUUCAAAAUUGCGAUUGGAUGGUAAUCAGGGUUAAUAUCAGAGCUUAAGAUACUAUAACCGUGAGAACCUAUUGACUGCCAAUUAAAAUAUCCAUUAAAAUGUCUAGGGAGUUAUGAAGGUGGGGGUAACUUCCAAUUUCUAAGGCCACAGAGUAGACAUCAUCCAGGAUCCUAGGAAAGUCCAGUUAACCUCCUGCUCGAUGCAAUUAAUAAAUUUGGUCAAUGCCACUGAAACCUGCUAACUGACGUCACAAUGCGACAUGAGCACUUCAAAAUGGGACGGACAGUCAGUAGCACUGAAUUUUUCUUGCCUAAGAUUGAGCAAUUGGUCUAACUACUAAUCCCUAUUGUAGGUUGAUCAUUAUUUUUUCAAUUAUGUUCAGUUUGACCCAAAAAGUUGCAGAAUCUUGAGCUGAAUAUUGUCACGGAACACUGUCAAUGUCGCUUAGCAUAGCCAACAAACUUGAUGUUAAAACAAACACACAGUGUGUCUCAUGUCUCACAAAUCAAAUUAUCAUCUGUAAUGAUGGAGAAUUUUUCCAAUGUAUGAAGUAUGCUUUGAUACGUGGGUUACCUUGGAGAAGAUAUCUCAAAAUAAAGAAUAUGGGGAGAAAACAGUUCAGUAGUUUAUUAUUCUGUAGUCAAGUUUUGUCUCGAAAAUGGUCAAAAUUUAAAUGAUUAAGGACAGGGGAUCUUCAUUCUUUUUCCCCUUUUUUAUACCAAGAUAUCUCUCAACCUUUAUAUAAUCCCCACUGGAUAUCUGCUUCUCAUAAUUAAAAUAAAAAUUUCACCGCUCUAACAAUAAAAAGUAACAUCUUUAGUCAAAUAAUUUUGCGGUUCCUCAUCAUCUUAGUGUGAGACUAUCAGUACUUCCAAAAACAUAAUAAAACUGGUUUGAUCCUGUUUAUUAAUGUUUAAAUGUUGUUCAUUGUGACAUGUAGAAAUGAUGAGGCGAAGUUUAUUUGGGCAUCAAUUAGUAAGAUCUUGUUCGAAGUUGUUUUCUGAAAUGAACUGCCAAAUGGUAGUUUUUUGGGGGCAUUUGAUGGCUCUUUUUUUUUCCUCAUUUUCAACAUGUGCCUGCUUGGAACAGGAAGGAUUAGGCUUUAGAGUUGUUAUUUAUUUUGAGAUGCUCUGGUCAUUGCACAAUUUGUUCACACUGGAAAUUAGAAUGAGAAAUUUGUUGAUGCUGUUUUGAGAGAUCUGCAUUCUAUGCACAAUAACAUGAUUAAUGAAAAUGUAUUGUAGGACUGGAAAGAUCUGUGGCAGCCUGAGCUCGCAGGAAGAAUUUCAAUGGUUAAUUCUCCCCGAGAGGUUAUUGGUUCAGUUUUGAAGUAUAGGGGAGCAUCAUACAAUUCAAACGAUAUUGAUUCGCAAGUUGCUGGUGGGAAGAUUGCUGUUCAGCAGAAUCUGGCAUUACUGGCAAACCAGGUACUCUUACAGAAAUGAUAUCUGGUCAUUGCAUGUUAUUGCCUGACAACUGAUUUUGUUUGUAAAAGUCUACUUCUUCAUACAUAUGAAUGCAUAUGUUAGUGUUUUCUUCUCGUUUUCAUACAUAUAAAUGCAUAUGUUAGUGUUGUCUUUUCCUUUUCAUACAUAUUACUACAUAUGUUGGUGUUCUCUCCUGAGAUGGAUGCAAUAAAGGCUUUUGCUCCUAAAUUUAGCUGAAGAAAUGGCAAGGGAUGUGAGAUUCUGUCUCAUUAAAUUAACAAAAACCCAAAGCAAUGAAAAUCCAUAAUAAUGUGGUGUGGGUAAAUUGGCUCCAUUUGGUUCGUUUCCUUAAUGUGAAUGCGCGAGCAAUAGAGACUAACAAAAUGAAGUGACAACAAGAAGUCAGUGUCCUUUGAUGGAUGCAUUUUUAGGCAGAAAUAGGUUUGUAAUUGACCAAAUUUGUCUGGCAUGCCAAUUUCAAAAAAAUUAAAUUAUGUGGUUAUUAGCUGUAAUGAAGGGGGAUAGUAGGUGCAAUCAGGUGGAUCCUGGAAAGUUCAAUAAAGUUUUGGUAUGGCGUAGUGAAAUUGGUUUGUGCAACUCAGGAGUCUUUCAGGUGAACGAUGAUAGGUUUUGAUUUAUGAAUAUUAUAAAUCUACUGUGCAUAGUAUUCUAGUAGAAUCAUCUAUAAGUUCUAGUUAUUGAAAUUGUAUACUUUGCCCGGUUUGAGUUAAGGGCACAUGUAAUAUGAAAGAUAGUUGUCGCAUCUUUUAGGUUACCUAACAUUUGAUCAAUCCUAUUAUGGGGGCUUCAAGAUGUCUAACAAUAUGUAGAAUGCCCAUGCUCCUCCCCAUUGUUUAUCUUCUACAAUAAUUUGUUUUAGAUGCUAAUAUCUUUGUCGAUACCGGUAACAAUAUUACAAUAUCUGCGUUUAUUGGGUUUUACAUAGGUUCGACUGUUUGACAGUACACACUAUCUGAAGGCAUUUGCAAUUGGAGAUGUAUGGGUUGCUGUUGGGUGGAUUAGUGAUGUUCUUCCUGCUGUCAAACAUAUGUCUAAUGUUGCUGUUGUUGUUCCCAAGUCUGGUGCUAGCUGCCUGCCAUUCUACUUCGAUAUUCACAUUGUUAUCUCCUUCAUAUUAGCGAUCAGUAAACACGAUAAUGUGACUAAUAAGUUCGUAUUCUCUUUAUAGGCAAUCCCUGCUGCCUCAAGACUUGAAACAAAACAAAUUGGAGGGCGAGUCGGAGGUCCAUCUCCGUUAAUCCAUCAAUGGAUAGAAUUCUGCUUGCAAACAGCGAGAGCAUUACCUUUCAAGCAAGAGGUAAUCCCAGGUGCAUCUCCCUCUGCCCUUGAAAGUACUCUGGUUAAGUUGCCUGAAGAACUUCUGGAGGGUAAACCAAGUCUGGAUACUAACUUAAUUGCUGGAGUACUCCCGGCUGAAAUUCUGGCCAGAUGUGAGUUUUUGGAGCCAUUAUCUGAAGCUACUUUGUCAGAUUAUGAGUGGCUGGUUGUUAAUCUGCAAAAACCUGCUCCUGUCUUGAUGAAAAGGGUGCAACAUUACUUGUCAUCAUUAAUCCAAAGCUUUCUAGCAAGAGCUACAUUGAAAAGUUAAUGGCGCUGCAUGCCAGUCAUUAUAAUGCUGUCAGGACAAUUGGGUCAGGGCAAUUAGGUCAGAGCAUAACUUCAUUAGGAAAGGGGGCUUCAGCUACGUUAAAUAUUACAGGAUGUACUGAGAUGGCUGAAGUUCUUGAGGUUUUAUGAGAAACGAAAGAUGAGUGUUUGUUUGAACAAAGUUGUUGCCAAUCUUGCAGAGUUUGAAAACAAAGAUCACGGAGCGAAUGCCACCGAUUUCUUCAUCAUUUUAGCCUCCAUAAUUGAAGUUUCCUCAUUUGAAGCUGUUUAUGCAUACGAUUUUUCCCUGCUCUAGUACAGGAAAUUGAAGAAUUAACCAGAUGUGAUAUGCUGAAAGAGGGAAGUUUUCUUCCUUGAAUGUGGCCUUUGUGAUUUGUCUUGAAGGAAUAGGAUGAUCACUGGCAAGAACCCUAUCAAGGUAGAUUUUAUGGUGUUAACAUAUUAUUCAGCAUUUUGUUACAUUAGCAAUGAUGCUUUCAUAGCAUGAAAGUGUUUAAAUUUAACUGAAUGAUCUUGAUUGAUCAAUUAUGAGUUUUAAUCGAGUAAAAACUAAAUACAAUAAUCGUAACAAANNNNNNNNNNNNNNNNNNNNNNNNNNNNNNNNNNNNNNNNNNNNNNNNNNNNNNNNNNNNNNNNNNNNNNNNNNNNNNNNNNNNNNNNNNNNNNNNNNNNUGCUACCUUUUGAUUUUAGUGCUUAAUAUUUAUUGAACUAUGAUGCAGGGAAUUUGAAAUCAAACUCGUAAUACAGAUUAUCUAAUUGCGAGUUGCUGUCCAUAGCUGCUAAUUUGUAGUGAUUAUCUAAUUGACUGAGGUGACAAUAAUUCUUUUAUUUUCAAUAGCACAAUGUGGAAUUCAAUAAUUAAAUUCUCCUGUUUAAUUUGUUUCAAGUUAAAUUAUUAAUUACUUAAACUCGGUUUUAAGUCUUUAAUUUUAUGUGUUUAUGCAGAAUUGGAUUCUUGAGCGUGUUGGACACGACCAACAAUGAAAUUGACAGUAAACAAACAUUAGAACAUGUGGACUCCGGUAAGCACCAAUGAAUUUCUAGCCCCGUUGACUCCGCCAACUAAAGUUUUGUAAAAUAAAAAAAAAUACAUAGAAUUCCACCAAAUGCAAAACGCGUAAAAUUUAAUUUUCGGCCGUGUGGACCAAAACAUAAUUUAACAAAAAAGAAAAAAAUGAUAAGAUUUUUAAAAUGUGUGGAAGGUGAUCCAUAUUUUACUGAAACGACUUGUUAAAUUUUUCAAGGAUUUAGAAUAUUUGGUCAUAAAUUACGUGCAUGUUAAUUUUUCCGCCAUUGACUAUCAUAUUCUAGACUUAAUGGUACCUUUUUUGAUGAAGGGUACUUAGUCUCUCUUCUCCUCUUAUAAAAAUUAUAUUAAUUGAUUUCUUGUUAUAGUUAAUAGUCUUCAAGAACGGAUAGAUUUAUUGUUUUCAUGACCAAAUUAUGCAUGCCUAACGUUGCAACUAUUAAUAAAAUUAAUAUUUAAUAUUUAUGUUAAAAGAUAUAAGAUUUUAUGCAUUCAUUAAUUGUUAUUAGCUAAAGGAUGAAUUAUUUUUUCCCAAUCAGUUGAUGCAUCUGCAAGAGUUUUUUUUUCUUUUAUUGACCAUAAUUAUAUUCCGGGUACAAUAAAUUGUCUUUGGUGCUUGGAAGAUAUGACAUCUCUCUGUCAACUUACUGGAAAUAUCUCCUCAUCUACUCUCAUUUAUCUAAUAUCAAUUGAAGAUCUCAUAUUUCCAAACUAUGACUUCCAAAUCUCAUUAUCAUUUGAGCAUUCAAAACUAAUCAAGUGUGGAAAUAAUCAAAUAUAUGCAAAAAUCGAGUCACAAUCUUUGGCCCCUCAAAAUUCUAAUUAUAUAACUUCUAUAUAUCUCAUACAUUUUCCAAAUUCCUCUUCCAUCAACAUCAUUAGGAGUAUGUUCAUCUCUCACACAUUAACUUGAGUGGAGAGUUUCCAAAUUGAUUGUCAGAAAACAACAAAAGAACUAGACACGCUUGAUCUGUCUAAUAAUUCUCUUUCGGUAAAAUUAAUUAAUUUUAGGGGAAUUCAGCCAACCUCUGUAAUUUUAUAGUGAUCAUUAAUUAAUUAAACAAUACAAAUAUCUAAAGUGAUUAGAUGUUUACUGACAAUACAAGUUCAUGGCUUGAAAUUUGAUCUCUAUCGAUUGGUUUUGUAGUGCUUAAUAUUUACAGAACUCCGGGAAUUUGAAAUCAAACUCGUAACUACAGAUUAUCUAAUUGUAAGUUUUUGUCCAUAGCUGCUGAUUUGUAGUGAUUAUCUAAUUGACUGAGGUGACAACAAUUGUUCUUUUAAUUUUCAAUAGCAUAAUGUGGAAUUCAAUAAUUAAAUUCUCCUUUUUAAUUUGUUUCCAAUUAAAUUAUUAAUUACUUAAACUCUAUUUUAAGUCUUUAAUUUUAUGUGUUUAUGCAGAAUUGGAUUCUUGAGCGUGUUGGACACGACCAACAAUGAAAUUGACAGUAAACAAACAUUACAACGCGUUGAGUGUCGACUCCGGUAGCUGCCCUACAAGUCUACAACUUUACAAAAAAUAAUUGAGUACACACAUUCGAUUCUCGGGACCCUUCAAUGAAUUUCUAACCCCGUUGACUCCACCGACAAAAGUUUUGGAAAAUAAAAAAAAAAUUUAUAGAAUUCCACCAAAUGCAAAACGCGUGGAAUUUAAUUUUCGGCCGUGUGGACCAAAACAUAAUUUAAUGAAAAAAAAGAAGAUAAAAUUUCUAAAAUGUGUGGAAAUUGAUCCAUAUUUUACUGAAACAACUUGUUAAAUUUUUCAAGGAUUUAGAAUAUUUGGUCAUAAAUUAUGCUCAUGUUAAUUUUUCCGCUAUUGACUAUCAUAUUCUAGACACAAUGGUACCUUUCUUGAUGAAGGGUACUUAGUCUCUCUUCUCCUCUUAUAAAAAUUAUAUUAAUUGAUUUCUUAUUAUAAUAAAUAGUCUUUAAGAACGUAUAGAUUUAUUGUUUUCGUGACCAAAUUAUGCCUGCCUAAGGUUGUGACUAUUAAUAAAAUUAAUAUUUAAUGUUUAUGUUAAAAGAUAUAAGAUUUUAUGCAUUCAUUAAUUGUUAUUAGCUAAAGGAUUAAUUAUUUUUUCAACCCAAUCUGUUGAUGCAUCUGCAAGAGUUUUUUCUUUUAUUGACCAUAAUUAUAUUCCGGGUACAAUAAAUUGUCUUUGGUGCUUGGAAAAUAUGACUUCUUACUUCAAGUUUGAUAUGUCUCUCUCCAUAAGCUUACUGGAAAUAUAUCCUCAUUUACUGUCAUUUAUCUAAUAUCAAUUGAAGAGCUCACUUUUUCAAACUAUCACUUCCAAGUCUCAUUGUCACUUGCCAUUCUUGGACCAUUCAAAACCAAACAAGUGUUGNNNNNNNNNNNNNNNNNNNNNNNNNNNNNNNNNNNNNNNNNNNNNNNNNNNNNNNNNNNNNNNNNNNNNNNNNNNNNNNNNNNNNNNNNNNNNNNNNNNNNNNNNNNNNNNNNNNNNNNNNNNNNNNNNNNNNNNNNNNNNNNNNNNNNNNNNNNNNNNNNNNNNNNNNNNNNNNNNNNNNNNNNNNNNNNNNNNNNNNNNNNNNNNNNNNNNNNNNNNNNNNNNNNNNNNNNNNNNNNNNNNNNNNNNNNNNNNNNNNNNNNNNNNNNNNNNNNNNNNNNNNNNNNNNNNNNNNNNNNNNNNNNNNNNNNNNNNNNNNNNNNNNNNNNNNNNNNNNNNNNNNNNNNNNNNNNNNNNNNNNNNNNNNNNNNNNNNNNNNNNNNNNNNNNNNNNNNNNNNNNNNNNNNNNNNNNNNNNNNNNNNNNNNNNNNNNNNNNNNNNNNNNNNNNNNNNNNNNNNNNNNNNNNNNNNNNNNNNNNNNNNNNNNNNNNNNNNNNNNNNNNNNNNNNNNNNNNNNNNNNNNNNNNNNNNNNNNNNNNNNNNNNNNNNNNNNNNNNNNNNNNNNNNNNNNNNNNNNNNNNNNNNNNNNNNNNNNNNNNNNNNNNNNNNNNNNNNNNNNNNNNNNNNNNNNNNNNNNNNNNNNNNNNNNNNNNNNNNNNNNNNNNNNNNNNNNNNNNNNNNNNNNNNNNNNNNNNNNNNNNNNNNNNNNNNNNNNNNNNNNNNNNNNNNNNNNNNNNNNNNNNNNNNNNNNNNNNNNNNNNNNNNNNNNNNNNNNNNNNNNNNNNNNNNNNNNNGUAUUUUACUUGGAAGAUAUGACAUCUCUCUGUCAACUUACUGGAAAUAUCUCCUCAUCUACUCUCUUUUAUCUAAUAUCAAUUGAAGAUCUCAUAUUUCCAAACUAUGACUUCCAAAUCUCUCAUUAUCAUUGAGCAUUCAAAACUAAUCAAGUGUGGAAAUAAUCAAAUAUAUGCAAAAAUCGAGUCACAAUCUUUGGCCCCUCAAAAUUCUAAUUAUAUAACUUCUAUAUAUCUCAUACAUUUUCCAAAUUCCUCUUCCAUCAACAUCAUUAGGAGUAUGUUCAUCUCUCACACAUUAACUUGAGUGGAGAGUUUCCAAAUUGAUUGUCAGAAAACAACAAAAGAACUAGACACGCUUGAUCUGUCUAAUAAUUCUCUUUCGGUAAAAUUAAUUAAUUUUAGGGGAAUUCAGCCAACCUCUGUAAUUUUAUAGUGAUCAUUAAUUAAUUAAACAAUACAAAUAUCUAAAGUGAUUAGAUGUUUACUGACAAUACAAGUUCAUGGCUUGAAAUUUGAUCUCUAUCGAUUGGUUUUGUAGUGCUUAAUAUUUACAGAACUCCGGGAAUUUGAAAUCAAACUCGUAACUACAGAUUAUCUAAUUGUAAGUUUUUGUCCAUAGCUGCUGAUUUGUAGUGAUUAUCUAAUUGACUGAGGUGACAACAAUUGUUCUUUUAAUUUUCAAUAGCAUAAUGUGGAAUUCAAUAAUUAAAUUCUCCUUUUUAAUUUGUUUCCAAUUAAAUUAUUAAUUACUUAAACUCUAUUUUAAGUCUUUAAUUUUAUGUGUUUAUGCAGAAUUGGAUUCUUGAGCGUGUUGGACACGACCAACAAUGAAAUUGACAGUAAACAAACAUUACAACGCGUUGAGUGUCGACUCCGGUAGCUGCCCUACAAGUCUACAACUUUACAAAAAAUAAUUGAGUACACACAUUCGAUUCUCGGGACCCUUCAAUGAAUUUCUAGCCCCGUUGACUCCACUGACAAAAGUUUUGGAAAAUAAAAAAAAAAUUCAUAGAAUUCCACCAAAUGCAAAACGCAUGGAAUUUAAUUUUCGGCCGUGUGGACCAAAACAUAAUUUAAUGAAAAAAAAAAGAUAAAUUUUCUAAAAUGUGUGGAAGGUGAUCCAUAUUUUAUUGAAACAACUUGUUAAAUUUUUUAAGGAUUUAGAAUAUUUGGUCAUAAAUUACGCUCAUGUUAAUUUUUCCGCUAUUGACUAUCAUAUUCUAGACUCACUGGUACCUUUCUUGAUGAAGGGUACUUAGUCUCUCUUCUACUCUUAUAAAAAUUAUAUUAAUUGAUUUCUUAUUAUAAUAAAUUGUCUUUAAGAACGUAUAGAUUUAUUGUUUUCGUGACCAAAUUAUGCUAGAUUAAGGUUGCGACUAUUAAUAAAAUUAAUAUUUAAUGUUUAUGUUAAAAGAUAUAAGAUUUUAUGCAUUCAUUAAUUGUUAUUAGCUAAAGGAUUAAUUAUUUUUUCAACCCAAUCAGUUGAUGCAUCUGCAAGAAUGUUUUCUUUUAUUGACCAUAAUUAUAUUCCGGGUACAAUAAAUUAUCUUUGGUGCUUGGAAAAUAUGACUUCUUACUUCAAGUUUGAUAUGUCUCUCUCCAUAAACUUACUGGAAAUAUAUCCUCAUCUAUUAUCAUUUAUCUAAUAUCAAUUGGAAGAUCGCACUUUUUCAAACUAUCACUUCCAAGUCUCAUUGUCACUUGGCCAUUCUUGGACCAUUCAGAACCAAUCAAGUGUUGAAAUAAGUCGAGAGGGGGGGCAAAAUUAGAGUCACAAUUUUUGGUCCCCCAAAUUCUAAUUAUAUAACUUCUAUAUAUUUCAUUGCCAGGUCACGAACUUGUUGGCACAUUUUCCAAAUUCCUCUUCCAUCAACUCUCACACGUUAACUUAAGUGGAAAGUUUCCAAGUUGAUUGCUAGAAAGCAACGCAAAAUCAGACACGCUUGACCUGUCCCCUAAUUCUCUUUUCUACGUUGAAAAAGAAAAAAAAAAUAUAUAUAUAUAUCUAUGUAAAAAUAAAUAAUAAACUGAAUAAAAGUACAUUUGUUUAAUUAACAUCUGAUCGUGGCAUUUUUGGUGUAAUUUCGUGCUGUGUAAGCCACAACUAAAAUCAAACAGCCCCUUAGCAUACUUCUUCCAUUUUAUCUGGUACUUUUGUGGAUCUUAUAGGGUGGGCAUGUGGACAGAAUUUAAAAGUUUUAAUAGUCUCAAAGAAUAAGAUAUGUUAAAGCUAAAGUUGUUGCACCUUCUAAUUAAAUAAAGUUGUACAAUUUCACCAACUUGGAAGAAUUGACAUUAAUGGACUGGUCCCUUCUCCAUAUAUGAAGCCUUCUUAAAAGUUAAUUUUUAUUUCAGAAAAAAAAAGUUAAAGUUACAUAUAUUAUAGUAAGAUUUUUUGAGACCAAUUCCCUUCUUGAAAUAAUAAUGGAAAAGUAUUAAUUUAAUAAUAAAAUGAAUAUGUAUUGAUUAUAUCUUGAUUUUCAUCGAUUAUAGUGAGAGUUUCUCCAAAUCAAUUCCCUUAUUCAAAUAAUAUCGAAAAAAUAGUAAUUUAAUAGUAAAAUAAACAGGUGUUGAUUAUAUAUUCUAAGUUUCAUCGAUUAUGUGAUCAAAGUGGCAUUGUUGAUUUAUUUCUUGUUCAAUGUUAAUUUUUAGGUUAUCUAAAUUUCAAGGAUUUAAAAUCUUUGAUCAUGGAUUACACGCUUGUUAAUUUUUCUGCCAUUGACUAUCAUAUUCUAGACUUAAUGAUACCUUUCUUGAUCAAGGGUAAUUACUCUCUCUUCUCCUCUUAUAAAUUCCUCUUCCAUUAACAUCACUAGGAGUAUGUUGAUCUCUUACAAAACAACAAAAGAACUAGACACACUUGAUCUGUCUAAUAAUUCUCUUUCGGUAAAAUUAAUUAAUUUUAGGGGAAUAUUCGACCAACCUCUGUAAUUUUAGAGUGAUCAUUAAUUAAUUAAACGAUACAAAUAUCUAAAGUGAUUAGAUGUUUGCUGACAAUGCAAGUUCAUGACUUGAAAUUUGAUCUCUAUCGAUUGGUUUACAAAUGGACAUACUUGUGCCUUUGUGGCGAUAAUCGAACAAGUUCCAAUGAUUAUUAUUUUUUCCAAAAACUUUUUUACAACAAAUUCAUCUCGCCAAAAAUUCUAUGUUGCUAGCUAACAAUAAUUGAGCACUUGGCCGCAUUGACUCCACGUCUCCACCUCUUUCUAAAUUCUAAGUAAAAACAUGGAAAUGUAAUUUCCACAAAAUGCCAAACGUGUGGAAUUUAAUUUUUUGCCUUGUGGAUCAAAAUACAAAUGAAAGAAACAGGAAAAAAAAAAAAGGCCCAAAGACUUCUAAAAGAUGAAGAAGUCUUUGGGCCUUUUUAUAAUGGUGGAUUUUUUAAAAGAAAAAAAUAACAACACUUUUAUGGUUGGUUUUGAUAAUCAUAUGUGCGUAUAUACUCUCUAAUUUUCAAAAUGGACACAUAAAUCUUUUUUUUUCACAAAAUAUAUAUUAUUCAUAUUUUUUAUUUUUUAUUAUCAUAUUUUUAUUUAUUAUAAAUGUUUAGAGUAAAUUUUUAGGUUGAAAUAUAAUAAAAGGGUAUAAUCGUUCUCUUAUUAAACACACAUACUUUUAUUAGUUUCUAUGCAUUUGUCAUCUCAAUCUCUCUCAAUUAUUCUUUAUUGCUAGCUCAAAACACGUUGCUGUUGCAAAUUAUAGCAAAAUGACAAAUAUGGAAAAAAAGGGAAGAAAAUUAAUGCAUGAAAGACUUGGAGAAAACAACAAAAUAAGCCAACUAUGAGCUAGUUGGGUGUAUAAAUUGUUAGAUGUGUUAUAUACAAAUAGCAUAGAGCCCUCUAGUUGGUUCUAGAGACAGAAAGAGCGUGUGUGUUUUUUCACAGUUAGAGAUAUAGUUAGAAUGGGUGGCUCAAAAUCAAAAAUGAUGAUAAUGUUUAUUAUGUUAUUAAUAAUAUUUAAAAGUGGGUGGAGUGAGGGAUGUUUGGAUCACGAGAGAUUUGCUCUUUUGCGACUCAAACAUUUCUUCACUGGUCCUUGUAAUUAUCUUUACGACUGGGUAGAUGGUGAGGGAGCUACUGAUUGUUGUCAGUGGGAAAGGGUUGAGUGCAGCAACACCACAGGCCGAGUGAUAACGCUAGACCUUUUUGACACGUAUGGGGGAGAGCACAACUGGUAUCUGAAUGCUUCUUUGUUUACUCCCUUCCAACAACUUGAGUCACUUGAUUUAACUUACAACAAAAUAACCGGUUGUGUUGAGAAUGAAGGUGCUUCGUUUAAUUUAAUUAAUUUACUUUCUCCCCCCUAAUUUAAGUUGAAUAUCAAGACCGAGCAAUUAUAUGCAUAUUCAUUCAGUUGACAAUUUUGACUUUUUUUUUAAAGAUUAAUUUUGAAAUUACACUAGUAUCUAUGAUCCUUUUUUUUUUUAUUUUACUUGCAGGUAUAGAGAGGCUAUCAAGAUUGAACAACUUGAAGAUGCUUAAUUUAAGUGAUAACUCGUUCAACAAUAGCAUUUUAUCAUCACUAACUCAUCUUUCAUCAUUAAGAUCAUUAAAUUUAUAUGGGAAUAGAUUAGAAGGAAGUAUUGACGUUAAAGGUACAUAAUUAAAACUUCAUCCCUUCUCCAAGCUCUUUCAUUAACUUGCUAAAAUAAGAUUCAAGGCUUUGAAUUCAAUUUUUUUUAUGAUUAGUAUUAAAAAAAAACAGUUUUAAGCAAUUUAUAAAUACAAGUUUUAAUCUUUCUCAUAAUUUCAUCUUGUACUUUCAUGUGUCUUGAAUUUAAGAUUAAAAAGAAAUCUAAUAGCAAACCAAACACCUCCACAACUUAUUAUUAUUAUUAUUAUUAUUUGCGGUGAGGUUUGAAACAUUCAACUCAAUUUGUACUUAUUACAGAAUUUGAUUCUUUGAGAGAUUUAGAGGAGCUAGACAUUGGCGAGAACAAGAUUGACAAAUUUGUGGUCUCAAAAGGUACUACAAAUACCAUAAAAAAAAAUGCUAACUUAUACAAAUUAGUUGGAUUCUUGGCCAUUUGGUUUAUUAUUUUACAGGUUUGAGUAAGUUGAAGUCUCUCUGUUUAAGUGGUAUCAAACUCAAUCGUAGCAUCUUCGCUUCUCUUUCUUCGUUAAGAGAAUUAGAUAUAAGUUAUACGGGAUUCAAAGGAACAUUUGAUGUUCGAGGU